rnacentral:lncRNA from 1 species
CAUUUGGAAGGGGCAUAACGGUAAUCCAAUUUCCUUCUUUCUUAAUCUUCAGACCUUCUACUUCGUUGAUUUGGAGCAGAAUCGUUAGCCCAACCGAGUCGGAAUGAGGCGUCAGUCCGAUCACCUUCUCCGGCUCCGGGCACCGCGGGUAAUAGUUUAUUCUCAUCGAUUGAUUACCGUCUUUGAACAACUCACUCAUCUCUCCCUCUUUUAUCCCCAACGCUUUCUCAAUGCCGCCAAUUAUCGCCGUCGUCACAUCCUUCACCGCCGCCGAGUACUCCUCCAAUGUUUCUCUGCUUACCAAUACAGUUUCAUAAUUAUUUCCUAAUUCUUUUUUUUAAAAUCAAUUAAACUAAUGAACUUUGUUUUAACCUAUAAUGGAUUACUUCUUUUUAUUCUCACUUGCUUAAAUUACAAGAUUAAUCUUUGCUUAGAAAAAUUUUAUAGGUUGGUUGGUUUAAUUUUUAUGAGUUCGGAGUUCAAUUUCUAGGAUUCAUAUGAGUUUGAGAAUCAUUUAAAAAGUUUUGUGAUGGAAGGAAUUAUCAAACCUCAAAGAGAGAGGGAGAUUUUGAAACAAUCGGGGAUUCCUGAAAUGUGAAGGCGAUGUAGCAAUGAAGAAAAUAUCACACCAAUCCAAUUUCUGUUCUUCACUUGUAAUGAAAGCUUGUCCAAACCCCUCCACAUCCCCUUCUCUCUGCCAUAGCUUUUUCUUCUCUUCAAUCGGAAGUUGGAACAAUUUCUGCGUUUCCAUCUUCAUUCUCUCCAUCAAUGAAUCGCUCACUCCAUGCUUCACCAACUGUAAUUAAUUUUACCAAUCAUUUUCAGAUUCUACUUAUUAAUUAAACACAUAGAAACAGAGAUAGAGAGAGGAGAUAUUAUGAACCUGAAAGAAUCCCCAAUUUUUACAGGCGGAGUGAAGGCGAGACAAUUCGGAGUCCAUUGUAUCAUUAGAGCGGAAGUUGGACAUGUCGAUCACGGGGAUUUGGGAAGCGGCGGAGGCGAUCGGGGAGUGGUGGAGGAGAUCGGGGCGGAUGUAUCGAUGUGGAAUUUCGGUGAUGGGGUGUUUGGCUAACUCUUGAACGGAAGGAACUAGAAUGGAACUUCCGAACCUUAACGUGUGGAUCUUCUUCUCCUCCGCCAUGUGUUUCUUAUUUUUCUGAUUGAUUGGUUUCUAAAUGUGUGUAUGAAAGAAAAUGGUAAUGAGAUUUGGUUUUGAUUUCUAUGCUUUUCAGCACAUUCAUAUUUUUGGAUGUUUGUAUAUUUGUUAUUUAUAAUUAUACAAAAUUAAUUACGUGAGAUGAGAUCCCUACUUCAAAUAUUGUAAUCUUUUUAAUAUUCAAUAAGCAAAAGCAAAAUAAUAAUUAUGCAUUACUAAGCCACAAUUUUUGUUUUGAAACAUUCAAAAGGAAAAUUAUAUUUGAGUAAUAGCUUUGACACUUUUGGAACUUUGUGAACUUUUUUUUUAAAAAAUAGAAAAUUCUUGUUUAGAUAAAAUGUGUUGUUAUUUUAUAAUUUUCUAGAAUGUUAUACAUCUCCCAACAAAAUCUAUGGACAAAAGAAAAUUUAUUAUUCACGAUGUUGUCGUGAAGUAAAGUGUAAAUAAAUUCUAUCAUUUGUGAUAAUUCUCGUAUCACAUCAUUUUGUCGUCCAAACUAUGUUGUAUUCAAUUAAAAAUUGUGGUGCACUAAUUCAUCUUUUUCAAAAUAUUAUGAAAAUAUAUUCUUUUAUAUAUAUAUGUGGUUGCUUUAUGUAUUGCUCCACUUUGUAAAAAUUCAAAAUCAAAUGAUACUUAGAACGUGGGUUUAAUUUGGGUUUUUGGUCGAGGGAUUUUAAAAAUAUGAAUGAGAAAGUAGAGAUUUGUGAAGUUCAAUGCUCCUUUCGUCCAAUUAGUUUGUGGACUCAUCAUUAAAAAUAUAUUUUCUUACACUAUUGAUUUAGGUAAUUUACAAUUCUGUAGACUUCACAACUUUUUGUUUCUUAUUAUUUUACACCAUUACCAAGUUUACCGUAAACUAUUUGAUAAUCAAUUAAAAAGAGAUUGGACAAUGGAAUCCAAGAAUUUGUUCUUCCCAUCUCUCUCUUGUGUUAGGACAAAAGGAGAAAAAAAACAAAAGAAGUUGAAAAAAGAAAACAAAUCUAUUUAAGAAAUUAUUUCCUACCCACUCGUAUGUACAAAAAUAAACAAACAAACAAAUAAAAGUUUUAAAAAAAUUACUCAUCUAUAAAUAUUAGAUUAAAAUAUUCAUCAUAGCGUUUGCAAUGGGAUACUAAUUAAUUUUAUACUUUCAUUCAUCCAAUUUCAAAUUUAGGUAUUAGACUUUCAAUACCUAUUAAAACAAUCUUUUAAGAAAAAGCAAUUGCUUUCUAAAAAUACAAUCAUAUUUGGUUUACUUUUUCUCUAAAUUAACAAAUUUAAAUGUUUGAUGAAAGUAUAAAGAGAAAUUAAAUCAAAACUACAAUUGUAAAUAGUUUUUUUUUUAAAAAAAAUUUGUUGGCUAUAUUUGAAAAUGCCACUCAAUUAGUUUUAGAAUCAAAUUUUAAAUAAAGAAAAGCUAAUCAACAUUUUUUAUUAGGAAAUUCUAACUUGAUACAAAAUUUGCAAUUGAACCAAGUUCAAACAUAAAACACUUUUGCAACACCUUAACAAAUUAAAUUAUGAAACUUGAAGUUGAAACUAUGGAAUAUUAUAACCUCAUUUUAUCUUUAGAGGCCUUUGUAAGUUGUAACCUAAGGCUUUGACAAUAGAACUUACACUAACUCAAAGAAAAUGUGUACUUCAACUCAUUUACUCAAUAUCAAAGUGAUCAAACCAUCCAUAACAAUCAUAUUUGAUUUUACUCAACUAUUCAACAGCUCCUUUUAGGGAUUCUAUGAUAAAAAGGAAUUACAGCACUAGUUUAUUGCUCUAACAUCAAAAUUACAAAAGACUAAAAACAUUAACUGAAAUAACUAUCUAAACAUUUGAUCCUAAAUUUAGAGCAAGCUGAUUUGCUGAUUUCCCAGCAGCUAUGUGGCAGCAACUACAACUUACCUUCAUCUCUAGCCACUAUCUUGAAUUUCCCCGUUAGUUGUUGCUACAAGCAGAAGAGAUAAACACAAGUUCAAACCCAGAAACCAAAUUACAGUAAGUUUAAUUACCCAAAGAUAUUUGCAGAAUUAACUAUUAAAUGCAACCAAAAUAGAUAAAUACAUACAUAUAGCUCACAUUAGAAAGUCUAUUGACAAAGACAAGUACUUCUCAUACAAAAAUUUCAAACUCAUUCCUAAUUUCCUACAUUAUGGUCUAUGGAAGAACAAUCAUUCUAAGAACUCUACCUAAUUCAACCCUGUUUAUCAUUUUAACUAGAUUUAAAUACUGACCCUACACAUCAAUUAGUAAAAGCUCAUUUUGACUUGUUAAGAACCCAAAGAUAUUGGCAGAAUUCACUUUGCUAUUGCAUGCAAGAAGAACAAACAAACGACUGCAAACAAAGAUAGAAACUCAUCAGACAUGGACAAGUAACAUGGAUAAGUACCAAGCCAAAGUUGUUUGACCUAUGCAGCACAACAUAUUUAGCUCAAAGGAUAAAGAGCGUGAAUUUACCUUCUUCCACAAGUCUGUAUGGUUUCUACAAAACCCAGCUACAAUAGCACCAGAUCUUCUUCCUUCUUGGUACUCAAUGCAUAGAUCCUCCUUCAACCCACAAGUAACAUGAAAAGCCAAACUACAUUUAGGCUCUGAGCAGUCAAUAGAACAACCGCUAGAAGUUUUGCAGAUAUAACAUUUGGUUUUCCAUCUCCUCUUCAGAAUCAUCGAGCAAUCAAUCCCUUCUCUUCCUUCUGGGUCCUCAAAAAACACCUCAGGAACAUAGAGUCCACAAACAAUAUGAGCCCAUUGGCCGUCGUUCGUGGGCUUCAUGGCCCCUCCUUUCAGAGGACAUAGGCAGCAUGAAAAUGGUGUUUCUGUAACCUUCUUCUCCGUCUUGGAAGACGAAGAAGCUAAGCAUUGGCUACAGAACCAAUCUCCUUCUGGUAUACUCUUUACAAGAGGAUUACCAUAACAUGAAGCGUGUACCAUCAAAUCACAUCCAUCGCAGAAGACAAUUGGAUCUGAAGGAUCCCCGUCUGUGCUUUGACAAAUCGCACAAAGAAUCCCAUCAUCUUCCUCUUCAUCUUGGACUGUUUCAAUCUCUUGAAUCUCCAUUUCAACAUCAGAAACUUCCUUUUCCUUAUCCUCUUCCUCCUUUUUCUCUCCCUCUAAUUCUGAUUUCGAUAUGGAUUCUUCCUCCAGAGGAUGAGGCUUGUAUUCAACAUUGAGAUCCAAUGACUCCGGGGCAAAAUCAGGGUGAAGGGCCCACACCCUUUUCUUGGUGGGCAAGCAGUAAGGAGAAGCGUCAGGAAUUAGGAGCAACGAAGAAUCACGAGACUCCUUUCGCUUCUUCGCUGGGAGGGAACAAGAAUCAAGCGAUUGAUCCUCCUUCUGACGAUUUUGUUUUUGUUCUUGUUCUUGAAGGAUUCUGAGCCUUUUGAGAGGAGGUAAGCCAUGGAGGGAAUCCAUUUUGCUCUGCAACUUCAAGUUGGGGUUUCAACAAAGGAACAAUGAAGAAGAAGAAGAAGAAGAAGAAGAAGAAGAAGAAGAAGGCGAAUGAAUGGGGUUGAAAAUUUGGGAAGGAAUAUCAUUUUAGUAAGAAAUUGGGUUAGGGUAUUUCAAAAUCAGAGUUCCCGCUAACUGAAAAAGUGGAAAUAUUUUGAUAAAUUUUGAAAUGGGGAAACUGGAGAAUGAAUCCGGCGGGGAAGAACCAAAAAUCGUUAGUUCAAUUCUUUUUAGGUUUUGAAUGAAUCUUUCUUUUUGUUGAAAUUUCCAAUUUUUACGGUUUAGGGAAAUUGGCGCCAAUCUCCCGCUCUUUUUUUCCCAAUUAUAACGGGUCGGGUUUUCUCUAAUAUAACCCGUAACGGAAUUCCAAAUUUGGUCGUUUCUUUUUUUAAUAUCAUUGUGAUUUGUGAUUCUUAUACUCUUUAAAUUAUUAAAUUUUAGUUGUUGUGCAUUUUAUAAACCUUGUAUUUAAUUUUCUUUCUAAAUUAGUUGGAUAAUAUCGGAAAAGCUAAGAUAUUAUAAAAAGUAUUCGAAAAAAUGAAAAAAUAAAUUGAUAUUUCAAAUUUAAAACUAAUUUAUAUUAUAAAUAUUAAUAUACAAAUUUACAAAUAUAUAUUAUGUUAGUUGUCAUAGCCACGUGUCAUUCUUUUGAUAAUCUAAUUCAACCUCUCCUGUCAAAUUGUUUAUAAAUAGUGAUAUUUUGUGGGUUUAUAAGUACAAAUAAUAUCUAUGAGAAUUAUAUGAAAGUGAGAGAAAUUCAAUUUUCUUAAUUUAUUUAUAUUUAUUUAUAUUAUAUAUUAUUAUUUUAGUAUUAUAUUUUUUCAAUUUUCGUAUUCUAGUUGUAUUUAAGAUUUAUUGAAAUUAUAAUGACUAGUUAAAAAAAAAAUCUAAUAUGUAAUUCACAUCCCUAAUUUCUCUCCUUGUCAGUCUGCCUUCUAUAAACAAAUUGAUACAAUAGUCUUUCAUUUAUAAAAUAUACACCAUAAUAUUCAAUAUAUACUAUACUUAGGUGGAAUAUAUGAAAAACAAUGCAAAAUGAAAGAUAGAAUAAACGAAGUGAGAGAUUAGAAAGUGAGAGAGAGGUGUAGAGGGAAGAUUUUUUGAACAAAAUAACCCAAAUUUUCUUUUUUGAAGGUGAGAGAGAUGGUCAACUUUUCUUUUUCUUUUUAUAUUUUUUAAUAUAUUAUCAAUAAUGAAUAUGGGUAAAUUAGUCUCCUUGGACCUUAUAUUUGUGUAAAAUAUUAGUCAAUUUAGUACAUUUCUGAAAAUUUUGAAAAAUUUAGGUCAAUCUUGUAAUAUAAUAUAUAAUUGGGAUAGUUGCAAAUUUAGCAAUUAAAUUCAAAUUAAUUAAGUAUAUAGCACAAUUUUAAAAAAUUUACAAAUAUAGCAAAAUUUGUCAAAUUCUAUCAAUGAUAUAAGUCUAUCACUGAUAGACCAUGUUGCAAAUAUUGGUCUAUCACUGAUAUACCAUAUGAAAUCUAUCAGCGAUAUAAGUCUAUCAGUGAUACUUUUGCUAUAUUUGCAAUUUUUUUAAAAUGUUGCUAUAUCUUUAAUUAUUAUUGCUAAAAUAGUCAUCCAUUGCAAUUUCUCUUAAAAAAAGAAAACCUUUAGCCCAUCCAAUGAGUCCAAGCUAGCUCCCAACCCUCCUUAUUAAUAAUUGUAUUAAUUUAAUAUGAAACCCUUUCAACUUAUGCCAUGAACUUGAAGCGUGAAUUUAAAUAAUAAGGAAACAUCCAUCUGGAUUUUACUUCUUCCUUCAUCUUGAUCGAGAAACACUGAGAUUAGUCCCAAAACUUUACUUCUUUCUUCAUAGCGGUUGAAAAAACUGUUUGAUGGCUAGUGGGUGGUUAGUCAAUUUUCGUGGCGAUUUUUAUACAAAAUCACUCAUGCGCGACCCAUGAUCACUCCUACUUCCAAGAUUUGAUGGUAUCGUCCUACAAUAGCCAAACCAAUCUUUAGAUAUUCGAACAACCCCGAAGUAUAUUAGACAAUGAGUUUAUGAGAAGACAAACAAUAACCCUAAUGAGAAACACACAAAUGAUGAGAUUAGAGAGAAAGAUGAAAAGUAGUCGACAUUGAACUUACCUUUUUUAUUCUAAUAAAAAAUUCAUGUGGGGUAGAGGAAUUUGAACUGCAAAUUUCUUGAUCCUUAGCAUUUACACUUAUCAGUUGAAUCAAACUCAGACAAAUUUUCUUACGAAAUUGGUAUUAGUACAAUAAUGUAUAUAACUCUACAAUUCUCAGUUUGAUGGAUGGCUUACCGUCAUAAAUGUCAUAAUUCAUUUAAAUUGGGAUCAAAUUAGGUACUAGAUCAUGAAAACUAAUAAAGGUUUAUGUAGCAAGAAAUUUCAAUAUAUAUACUUAAAUAGUGUGUGUAUAUACAAAAUAUAGCAAAAAUUUUAUAUUAUAUCAAUGAUAAACAUUGAUACAAAACUUCUAUCUAUGUAUCAAUGUCUGUUGAUGACACUAAUCAAAAUUUAUAAAUGUCUACCGAUAUCUAUUAUUGAUCAAAUUUAAAAUUUUGUAAAUAUUUUCAGCACUUUGUCAUUUAUAAUAAUUAUCCUUAUUGUUAUUUUACCAUUUUCUAGACGUAUCAAGGUCAAACUAUCUAUUCAAUUACUCGACUAGCUAAGAUAUAUUUUCAAUUAAGAACGAAAAGUUCAAGUUUUAAAUUGUAUUCGAGAGAAAGCAUCAUCAUAUAAAUUAUAUUGGAAGAUUAAACUUUAUUUGGAUUUCAGACAAUCAAAAUUCAAAUUGACUUGCAACUAUAAUUUCAUGAAAACCAAAGAUCGAGAAGUUUUAAGCUUUAAAUUGUAUUCGAGAUAAAGCAUCAAAUAAAUAAAUAUAAGAGAUUGUAUCCACAUUUGUUGGAAUUUAUGUCAUCAAACUCGUAGUUUGUAUUCAAAAUUCUGUUCAAUAAAAUCGUCUUAUUGAUACUAUAAUUUGAAAGCUAAUAAACUAAUGUUUUGAGGCUAUUAUGUAGACUUAACUUUAUGUACACACAUAAUAGUGGAUCAAGUUUGAGUCAUAGUUUAAAUGGUCUAUAGUAUAUGGAUAAGGUUGGGCGCCUUAUUCGGGAGAUACUAUUGAUGUGGCCUACUUUGUAGUUAGCACAAACGAUGUGAUCCUAAAUCGUUCAUGUAGAGACAUGGAAGUGGGGGCAUCCAAUGUAAAGAGUUUACAUAAGACUGAAACCAUGAGAUAGUCGCUUUUACGUUAUAACAUCGUUAACUUUGUAAAACUGACUAUUUCAUUUAUAGAUAUUCAAUGUAACUUAAUUUUAAUCUUGAGUUAACUAUGAACUUCUGUUCACACGAACUUAUUCUUAGAUCUGCAUAGGUGAGGGCAAUUCGCUGGCCCAAUAAGCCUCCCAUUUUAGACAUAAGAUCGGGUGGAUAGCUAGGGACAUAAGAUGUAAGACGAAAUUUACUCCUAUCCACUCUAGGGUUAGUAGAUAGGUUGUUCUCUUAAGGACUGAAUCCAAGUCUUGAACAAGGGGCCCCACCAUCUCAUUGGUUCAAGAGGGAUUCGAUUUAAAGGUUGGACCUUAAACAAAUUGUUCCAUAGUAGAUCAAUGGAACUUAAGAAGGAAAUAUAUAAUAUCGGGGUAAAACGGUACUUUGACCCAACCGAGAUUAUGAACAACCUGUGAAUGAUUAGCUUACUUAUCAUGGUCAUAUCACAUGGACAGAAAUAUAUCUACAGUGAGGGGAGUGCAACUAUGGGAUUUUAGUGGAAUGACCUGUUAGUUAACGAAGAUUGAUUAAUUCGGUUUAAAGAGUUUAGCCAGUUAAUCUUGGAUAGUUGGAGCUCAUGAUCUAUAGGUCCAUUAGGUUCCCCCGCUAGCUCAUAAGGAAUCAACUUAGAACAUUAUAAUAGAAUGAUUCGAAUUAGGUAAAGAGAGAGAAACCAACAAAUAUAUCUUAUAUAGUCAUCGGUUAUAACUUAAGAUAGAGCUUCAUGUUUACAUGUGAUUUAAAUAUGAAUAUGAAUUCAUAUUUGGAAGCUCAAAAUUGAUGAAAAAGGUCAAAGAAGUAAAAGAUCAUAACUUUUGAUUUUGAAAAAUCAAACUUUGACCGACUUUAUAUUCAAAUGUGUUUUAAAUUUUGGAGAAAUGAAUACAGGUUCAUGCUUGGGAGGUUGAAAUUAGUCAAGACGGACAAAAUAGUUAGAAGUCAAAAUGUUGACUUUGGACUUGAAAAAGUAAUUUGAUUUAAAUAUUGAAUUACCAUAUUGCCCUUAGACUAAUUUAAAUAAUAACACUUGCAUGUGAUAUGCAAGUGGCUUAUUGCAUGCAAGACACCUACCUUAUUAAGAAUGCCAAGUGAUGAGAUAGGUAAGCUCUUGCAUGUAGUUUACUUGUAAACAAUUUUUUUUUCAUGUAAAUGUGAAAUGACUCUUGAAUUUGAAAUCGAAAAUUAAUUUUGUAAUUGAGAGUUACAAGAUAAAAAUCAACAACUCUUUUCAUUUGAGUCUCUUAACAUCAAAAAAAAAAAAAAAAAAAAACCUAAAGAUUAGGUUCCUACAAAAGAUAUUAUCUCUCUAUUUCCUCCACCAUUUGUUGAGUCCCACAAUUCAAUUCUAGGUUCGAAGAAUAGCAAGUCAACGCUAGUGGUAGUCCCGACUUCAUUUUUGUGAGGAGAUCGUGAAAAGCACGUGAAAAGAUUACAAGAACAGAAAAGCAUCAAAUGUGAGAUUUUUCUUUUAACACUAUCGAUAUUAUUUUAGGGUUUUUUAUGCAUAUUAAUCACUAAACUAAUUUAGUUGCAAUUAUAAUAAAAAUUUGAUCCUAAUUCCGUUGCGCAUGUCUACCGUUUCCAUCAACAUCAUCAUAUAAAUCAAUAUACAAAGUUCAAUUCCAUAAAUUAUAUUUCUUCCGAAAUUUCAUGUGAACAAAUUCAAGUUCAAUUCCAUAAAUUAUAUUUCUUCCAAAAUUUCGUGUGAACAAAUUCAAAUACUUGAAAUUUCACCAGCACAUAUUGAAUGAAAAAUAUAUGUAUAACUUGAUCCAACUUCAUAAACAAGAACUAAAUCUUAAAUCUAAAACUCCUAAAACAAGGGCUUGUUUUGUUUGGUUAAAGAGCACAAACCAAAAAGAUCUAAGGUAGAAAUAAUUAUUUUCUAGUAUGUGUUGGUAUCAAAAUCAAAAUUUAAAUUCCAAUUUGAACAAUUUUUCAAAAUGUGUGAUAAUGUAUUUAUAAAUCAGAAGGCUAAUUAUAGUCACUAAAUACUAAUUAAUUUAAACUUUUACCAUUUUAAAAAAUUGUACAAUUAUUAUUUUGCAAUAUCAUAUAACAUAUAAUAUAUCACAUAUUUUAUUCAAUUUAACAAAAACAAUUGAGUCUAGAAAAUAGAAUACCAUAUUUGAAAUGUUUUUAUCUAUUUUAGGGUUUGGUACAAUUCUGUGUUUUAAAAUUCAAAAUUUCAAAAUAUAAAUACACUUAAUUAAAUUUAUUUUUAUUGGAAAAAAACAAUUUAAGAUUUAUUCUAAAACAAGAUUAGACAAAGUUCAAACAUGGAAUGAUUGCAAACAACCUGUCAAGAACUAUUCAAAUGUUACAAAAAUCUACUAAACCAAAAGGAUAAAACACAAAUGAUGCUUACAAAAUUUAGACAUCAUUUUCACCUAGUCUUUGCUUUGCCUCCAAAUCCCAGCAAGAACGCUGCCAAAGAUUGAGUGGCAAACACUUGAAACUGCACAGGGCACUGCCGUAAGAGGAUUUCCAAAGUGCUGGCUAGCAAGAACAACCCCUAGCACCGAGUUCUGUCACAUAAAUUUAUUCAUUGUUAAAAGUUAAAAACCAGAUCAACCUAAAAAUGCCGAAACUGAUUGAGUUAUGUAGUAAGACACUUGGCAGCAGACUUGCCAAAGAGUGCAACUAAGAUACCCCGAAAGUAAAUGAAAGGGAUAGUUGCAAAAACAGCGAUCAGACCCAAAUAUGAAUAAAUGUAGCACAAUACAAAACAAUUUACAAAUAUAAUGCAAUCUUGAAUCAAUUCUCAAAGUCUACCAUAGUCCAUAUUUCUAAUAAAUGUUUGUCAUUAAUAGAUUUUCCCCAUAUUUAAAAUUCUUUUAACACAUUGCUAUGCGUUUAAUUAUUUAUCAUAAAAGUACUAUCCAUUGCAAUUAUUCUAAAUGAAAUGCUUUACCUGCAUUCCAACUUCAAUGGAGAUCGUUCGAGAAGAUGCAAUGUCAAUGCCAAGCAAUCUUGCAAGUACAUAACCGAAGAAAAAUCCUGAAGCAUGAAGAAGAGCUGCAGCCAGGACUACUUGCUGACCAGACAUCCGAAUAGCAGAGGAGCUCUGAGCAAUUGCAUGUCCACAUAAAAUAGCAACAGUGCCAACAGCAAUAGGGGGCAUGAAUGGAGAGACAAAUCUAACCAACCCAUGGAAAUACUGGUUUAAAAAUGCCCCACCCAACACUGGAAGAAGCACAAUCUGUUGUAUGUGAAGGAAAGGGAAGUUACUUGAGAGAAAUUUAAUGUUAAGAAAAAUAUUGAUGUUGCUUUCGUUUGUUAGAAAUCGCACCUGCAGGGUGGACAUUAACAACCCAGCUGCGUCCACAGCAACAAAUUGACCAGCAAGUUUGGCAGUGAGAAAAGGGGUCAUGAUCUGUAAAAUUGAAAUGAUAACUUAGAUUUCAAUAUCUAUGAAACUUCGAAAAUAAUCACUUCCAUUGAGAAAAAGGAAAAAAUGCACAGUUCUAAGGAAACAAAGCCCACAAAAAGGAGAGAUGCCCUCUACAAGAACGGGCUCCAACUAUGCAAAAUCAUUCCUAUAGAAUAAUUACCAAAAAUCUACGAAAUUGAAGCCUAGAGAAAAACAUGAAAACGAACGAGGGACCAAAGCUCCCUAGGGUUUCUCUCCACUCCCCCAGACACUCCACUGUUCCUCACAUCCCACAAAACCCAUAACACUGCACACACACCAACAAGCCAAAUAAACCGGGCUUUCUCCCCAAAAGGCGGAUUAAGGAGGGACUCCUCACUCAUAGCACUGACAUCUCUACAGUAAACACUCAUCAAACCGAAUAUCUUUGAAGAGAAAAAAAAAGUAACGUGGUAGAUAAAAAAUUUAUUGUUGUGUUCAGUUAAAGGUUUUUCCUAUGUUUGUGCAAAUAUGAACUUAGGAGUAAACUAUGGUUUCUUAUGUGUUGUCAUUUCUACUAACAAAGAUAUUAGGUCCUGUUUUAACGACAGAAGAACUAUAUAAAACCGAAAGAAAAACAGAUCAUGCUAAGAUGCAAACUUGAAUUUAGAAACUAAACAAACGAAAAAAGCAAAAGCACUAUGGAGGCUUGCUAACCACGGCUGCCAUAGUGCUUGUGGCGGUCAUCAGCACAGAAAGAGCUACAUUUCCCCUGGAAAGGCAUAAAAAUUUUCUUAACCUCUAACAUAAUUUAACAAGAAAGAAGCUAAAUGGUGGCAUUUCAAAAGUUAGAAUACCUUGCAAUGUAAGUGACUAUAUUGCUUGCUGUUCCUGAAACCAAAGAUAGAUCAAACUGUUAAAAUAAAUAGAAUGAGAAAGAUAAUUGACACUACCAACUGAUGCAUACCACCAGGACAGCAACCAACCAAUAUUAAACCAGCUGCAUAGUAAGAUGGCAAAUUUAAAAGCUUGCUGACAAGAAAGCCUGAUAUUGGCAUCACCUGCACCAAGAACCAUGAAAGUCUAUCUUAUAAUUUCAUCUAUAGAUUGAAGUCCCUAAAACUAUCAAAGAAAGUGAAGUGGAAAUCCUCGAUGUCACACUAUUUUUUAUCAAUUGUUUCCUUCAGUACAAACUCAGAAAAAUCUAACCAGUAGAUCAAUAAUAGAAGGAUUUCAUCCAAACGAAAUGCUUUUCGGAACACAGUUAACAUACAAUUCAAAAAAAGUAGUGAAAUAUUAAAGAUGAAGAAUCAAUCAUCCAUUUAGCUCGUAAUAGUAAUUCUUCAGAAUCAAUCAUCCAUUUAGCUCGUAAUAGUAACUCUUCAGAAUCAAUCAUCCAUUUAGCUCGUAAUAGUAAUUCUUCAGAAUCAAUCAUCCAUUUAGCUCGUAAUAGUAACUCUUCAGAAUCAAUCAUCCAUUUAGCUCGUAAUAGUAAUUCUUCAUCUCGCUAUGAUUCACCAUCAACACCCGUUGCGAGAUUUGGAACAUUUCUGAUGGCCAUAGUCAUUUCUGUUGUUCCUUUCCCUCUUUCUGUGAACUAGAACAGCUUCCAAUAUUCCAAAACCCAAGUCACACACAUUCAAAAUUAUGCAGCAUACGCGAGAAAUUUCUCAAGAUCAAAAAAAUCAAUGAAUUUCAGAUACGUUCAAACAAUAGCACAAUCGCAGUAAACAAACGAACUAACCGAAUACUGGAGCACGAACCCAGAAAUCAAUUCCUUAGGCAUAGCCAGGGCUCCACGAAGAUCGUCGAGGGUCAAUGUCAUGCCCAUACCAAGCAUUGUGAGAGUAAUGCCAAGAACAGUCCAUCUCGGUUGAACCCAAGCAUAGGAAGCCGGUCUGAGCAGCCCUAAAACGCAACCUAGCGCCACCCAAACAGGAAACGCAGUAGACAAAGCUUCUCCGAUCAAUUCAAUCCAUUGCAUCAAACUCCGCUCGCCCUGAACGCUGUUGCCGUUCGAUGACGGUUCGCAUCGAAGAGGAGGAACUAACAAUCCAAAAUCCCUCCGUUUGGUUUGGGAGCAAACAAAAGGGUUCCCGUUCCAAAUUGGAUCGCCGAAUAACAGUAGAGGAGAUUCACGACGUAACCCAACCAGAGAAAAAGAGGACAAAGACGAAUUGAGAGGGAUGUUAAAAGAAGAAGAAGAGGAAGUUACAAGUGAAGUGCGAGGUCUGAAGGUCGAAAGGGAAUAUCGAUAAGGACGAAGAACGCAAGUAUCUGAUGGAAGAGACUGCAUUCUGUGUGUGUCGGCGACGACCAAAAGAAGAAUGAAUGGAACUUCGACAAUGAGGUGAGUGUGAAGCUCAGCUCAGCCCAGUGUUUCCAGAACCGGGGAAACUCCGGUGACGGCGAUGUUGAAUCCCGCCAAAACCCUUUGGGCAGCUUGGUUAAGUGGAGCGGUGGAGAGUGGCAAUGGGACCGGGGAAACCAUUUUUGACGUUAAUGUAAUAUUUUGGUCAAUUGAUUCGAUGUCAAAACCUAAAGCUUUCUGUUCCCUUCGUCACUAUUUCAUUUUUCAUUCUUCAAAACUAACCUAUAAACAAAUUGUCAUUUCUGUCUCUUAAAUGUUUUCAUUUAUCCUUUAUUUUUUAGGAUAAUUUCAAAACUAAACUAAAAUUUUAUAUCAUGUUAAUGAUAUCUAUGGUAAACUAUUGUUAAUAAAAUUUUAAAUUUUAUUUUAUUUCGUAAAUUUUUUCAAUAAAUUUUUCAUUUACAAUUCAUUUUUUUAAUAAAUUACCACUUUUUUAUUUCAAGUUUUGUUUUAAAAAAUUAUGAACAAUUUCAAAUUAACCAAACACAAACUCUUAGUUAUAAAUAAAACUUCAAAAUAAGAAUUCGUUUUCUUCUAAAAUAAUGAUUCAUUUUGAAUCAUGAAUCAAAUAGAAAUCAAUGAAAGUUCAUAUCAUAACAAGAUAUUGCAAACAAAUGAAUAUAGUUUUCAACGAUCAUCAAAAGAUAGCUUUCCAUGGUUUGAGAAACGGUAACCUAGUGAAUUAGCCAGCUUAUUUGCCAAUUCCUUUUAUUAAUAAUACUAUCCUUAAAAAGAUAUUCAAAUUUUGUUUUAUAUUUUCAAAUUUACAGACUUUAACAAAUUUGUUUUUACAGAAAAUCUAACUUUUACUUUUAAAAAUUGUUUUAAAUUUUCUUUAAUCCAAAUGGUACAAAUUAUUAAUAAAACUUUUUUAUAUUUUCAUUAUAUCAAGAUUUUGUAAAUUUAACAAUUAGAUUCAAAAUAAUUAAGUAUAUAACAACAUUUUAAAAAAUUUAUAAAUAUAACAAAAUUUAUCAAUGAUAUAAGUCUUAUCACCGAUAGACUAUGUUGCAAAUAUUGGUCUAUUAUUGAUAGACCAUAUAAAGUCUAUCAACGAUACAAGUAUCAUCAGUGAUAGUUUUAUUAUAUUUGUAUUUUUUUUAAAAUGUUGCUAUAUCCUUAAUUAUUAUUCCUGAAAUAGUCAUCGAUUGCAAUUUUCCUAAAUAAAACGGCAACAAUUAGGUCAGUAGUUUGAUCUUCAUGAGAUAUUUGAAACAAGUGAGUUAUAACCAUCUUAUAUUAUUACCUCACUCUAAAUGUCUUAGCAAAUAAGUUAUAAAAUUUCAAGGGAUUUAGGCCACAUAAACCUGAAGAACCAAAAUAGUUUGAUCUUCUGGUUAAAAAGUGGUUUUAAAAUUUAGAAAUUUAGAAAAUAUAAAAAAAAAAAAAAAAAAAACCAAUGGACAUAAACUGACACUAAGAAAGAACAUAUUUAUCUUCUGUAGUGUAGAUAUAAUAAUUAUAUUUUAAAAAAUAAUUGGGAUGAAAAUGACACAAAGUGGCCCUGAUGAUGACAUACUAUUUGAUUGAAUCACAUCCUCUACCAAAUAUCAACAUUUUUUUGGUGGGUCUCCAUGUACUCUUGUAUGUAUUCCAUUGUUUUCAAAAUUUUAUUGAUAAUUUACUUGCAUACAAAUUUGUAAUUUAUGUCUAAUAGAAUCUUCAAAGUUAAAUCCUGUAUCUACUAGACACAAAUUUGAUGUUUACGAGUCUUUUGGACAUAAUCCCUAGUAGUUCAUACAUUCGUAAGUUUAAAUAAGAAUUCAGAGACUAGAAAACGUACAAAAAUUUCUUGAUCUGAGAUGUUGGAUACACUGAUGUUUGCCUGAUGUGGGGUUGAUUUACCUCAACUUUCGACAAUUAACUUUUGAUCUGCUGCAGUUGAAUUCAACCAACUUCAAGGCAACCUAUUUCACAAACGGAACCUCCAGAGGGUUUUGGUUGAAGUUGAACUAAUUGUGACAAACCCAUUUUGUCGACAGCAAACACAGUGGAAGCCUGUUCGGUUCUGUCAGCCUGUUUCAUUACAUAGAUGGAUGUUCAAGAACCAUAGGUCAACUUCGAAUAGACAAAUUCAUUUUUCUCAUACCCAAGCAAAGGGCGUAAGCCAACCAGCACCAAAAUGAUGUAUUGUCAGUUGUAAAAUUUAUGCCAGGAAGGCUUAGCCAAUAAAUUGUUGAUUGUUCAAGCCACAGACUCCAGUGAUUCCAGAUGGAAGAAUUGGGAGUUCAGCUUCCACUGCUUUUAUAUAGAACCUGAGAACAAAUAUCAACCAAGUAAGAUACAAACAGAAAUAUUGGCAAUAUUGUCCACCAAGGCAUCAAAAACGCUGAACACAGGCAAUACUCGAUAAUAAGGCAUAUAACAAAACUUAUUUAAAAAAUCUGUUUCCUGAGAAAGUGAAAUUUUGCAUUGUUGAAAAAUAGCAAUACAUAACUAUUCAAAACAAUAAUUUAACCGAGACCUUGCUAUAAAUAAAUCAACUGCACAGAUUUUAAACCUGCAAAGGCUAGAACUAAUGACUCUUAAUUUUAAAAUUUUAAAAUUAAAUAAUAAAAAAUAAUUAACGAACCAGGCAGAAAUUACUUUUCCUGAAAUAUGGUUUUACAAAAUGAACUAAAAAGUAUCAGGAGAAAAAAUGGUUCAUGCACAUCAAUAACUGCUGUAGAUAUGCUUCAAUUUGUAUUCAAAUUGUUUGUGUGCCCAGAGAUCAUUUAUCUAACUCUACAGAAAAGAGAGGCUUUCGAUGCACAAAUUUCAUCCAAUCAUAAGCCUAGACAACAGCGUAGAUAUCCGGAAGGGCCAAGGCUAAUAAAAUUGGAGUAAUCCAAAACUAAAGUUUCUAAAAUCCAGUUUGCCUUAAAUCCCAUGUGAAUAUAACCGUCCAAACAUCCCUCAACAUAAAUGAGGACUUCUGUCCUUGCUUGGGGAUCUUUCUAUGAGCCCAAGGAUAGAAGGGAUGCUCACUUUUGGAUUCCCAAGCUUUUGGUAAAUUGUGGUUGCAUAUCAUUAAUACGAAAUCUUCUUCCUCACAGGGCCACAAUGUUGUAUCCUCUAUAAGGAUGUGGUUGAAGACCUUACGAGGUGUCAGUUUGCUUAUGCAAUUUGGGGAUAGAUUUUCUUUAAGACGUUUAGUGUCUGCUUGACUCAAUUCAAGAGUGUUAUCUUCAUGGAGGAGUUUCUCUUUAUUCGCCCUUUCAUGUAAGGGUUUGGCGCGUCAAGAUUAGGGCAAUUUUAGGGCAUUCCUGUGAGGAACUAUUAGAAUUUUAAGAAAGCUUGAGACCCCUCAGGACACUCGUAAGAUUUCAUAUCUAACUAUGAGACUUGGACAAAAGGAUUUCAAUGAACAAAUGUCUUAUUUUGUAUAAGAUGCCCUUCUAGUUCGAUGACCUGGAGAAAUAUCAAGGUAUUUAAACCUAGUCAUAAACAUUUCUAAGCACUUUCCAGACUUCAGCUUCCUCCAUAUCGUAAUGGGUAACAGCUAAAUGAUCUCAAAACGCGCCUACCAAACUUUUCUUUCCCACAAUGUCUAUGUAAGACUCCUAGUUAGGAUUAUAUAGGGAUAAUUUGUAUGUUUAGUAGAAAGGACAUAUUAGUAAUUAGAUAUUAAGUUGGUUAGGUUAUUUUACUAUAAGCAGAAGGAGACAGGUUAGGGAAAGGUAUGAAGAGUUUUGCAGUAAAUUCCUUGAGUAAGAAUUUGGGAAGAGUCUAGCUGUCUCAAAAGGCUAGGGAUUACUUCUUGUAAUAUCAUAGCUUACAUUUCAAUAUUUUUUCAUAUAUUUCCAUAUUUGAUUGUUCUUCAGUUAUUGUAUGUUCUUGAAUAUUUCCUUUUAGGUUAGGAUCCUACCAGUUUUAUCCAAGGGUAAAAUCGACUUCACAAUAGGACAUAAUAAAUAUAUGUUUCCUUCAUUCCAAACUUCUUUUUAAAGAAACUAAAAAAAGGACUCCCUCUUAGUGAACUAUAAGAAAGCUUUCCAGUUGUAGCUAUAGUUGCAAAAUAAUAGUCUCAGGCACGACCAAUCACAUUACUACGUAAAGACUCGAAAGAGGAAGCUUUGCUUUAAAAAAGUCUUCGCUUUCUUCCCAAUUGAAAAACCCCACAUAAUAGCCCAUGUAGCCAUGCAUUCUCUAUGGGAACUAACAAUAAACGAAUAGAUGGUAGAUCGAUUCAGCUUCUCUCAGACACACAAGGUGUAGAUAGAUGGCUCAUUUUCUUUAGAGACAGAUCAUGUGUUUUUAGCCCUUUACCUGUCCUAGACCAGAGGACUUGACUUUUGUUCGGGUAGUUGUCCUUCCAAAUCAUGUUAAGGAGGAAGUAGAGAGGGAUCAUUCAACAUCCAUAAAAAGAGACAAUUUUCCUUUUCAAAACUGUCAACUGUCACAUUAGAUAAGCAAGCGUCCUUUGAAGAAACUCUUCCAAUUUCAACUUAAAUGCAAUGCACCUUAUCCUGUCCUCCAUUCCAUCCAGCCAAGCUAAUAUAUAAAUGGGCAACUUUUUCACCUCAUGUUCAUGACAAUAGCAAAAGGUUGGGCAGAAAACUAGACGACCUUCUCCUCCUAAAGAGCCUUUUAUCCAGCAAUGAAAUCGUUCCUAUCAUACCAUUUCUUAACCAACCCACCACAUGAAGCCCCAUGAAAUCACAAACACCAAAAUGGAAAGCGUCCAAUUUCUACAAUCUAGACUGUUCUUUCAUUAUCUCUGCGGGAACAAAUGAAUGUUGUGUACUACAACCAUCGACAGCCUCUCUGAGCCACUUUAUUCACGCACUUCAUUUCACUUGUGUAUGAGAUCUCGAACAGCCUUGCAAGCUUUCAAAUUCAACCUAUCUUGAAACCUUUCAAACUAAACACUUCCUAGAUAAAGAGGGAACAGCCCUUUCAAAUUCAACCUUAUAUUGAAACCUCAUGAACUAGACAAAGUGAGCCACCUCUUCAACCUUCAGUUUAGAUGGUUGCUCUUUUUCCAUGUUUAUUUGGCUUAGGAGAAUUACGAUUUUUAAAAAUAAAAAUGAGGGACCUUUUUCUUAAAUCACCCAUUAACCCAAAAGCUUAGCUAGUGAGGAUAAAUUUAAUUAUAUAUCUAACACUCUCCCUCACUUGCAGGCUUGAAAUAUAAAGAAGAGUCAAGCAAGUGUAGAUUGAUAUUGAUUGAGAAAAUAACAUUGCAAGAACUUGAACCCAAGACAUCCUGAAGCAAUCUGCUCUGAUACCAUAUUUGGUAGUAUGAGAUUCCAAUUCAAAACCAAUUGGCAAUGAGAGGAGUAGCACAUCCCUCUUAUAAGGAGUGCGAGUUCCCUUGGUUUUUCCAAUGUGGGAUUCACAUAUGCUUUUCUGCUCCCAUUUUUUGUUUGGCCUUAUUAGUUAUCCCUUUUGUAUUAUUUCAAUCUCCUCAAAUUGUAGUCAGCUCCUCAUCGAAUGUGAACAUUUUUAUUUCUUUUAUAUCCGUGAAUGUAUGGAUCGGCUUACACGCACCUUAACUAAUCUUAUGAGACAACUUGUCUAACCAUACAACAUUUGGGUGUCAAGGAAACUCAUAGGAAAUUAAUUCCUAGGUAGGUGACCACCAUGAAUUGAACUCAACUCAGGACCUCUUAGAUAGUUAUUAAGACCUAUGUCUUCUUUUUCAGUAUUAAAUCAACCCACGAUGGCUCAAAUUUGAUAGUAUUAAUAACAACAUAUUCAUUUUUUUUGGAUAAGAAUAACAACAAACUCAUUUCAAUAAGUAACAGCAAUAAAAUUGUAUUUUUCAUGUUAUAUUACAUGCAAAAAAUGUAUAUCUUUGAAAAGAAGCAGUGAUAUCAAACUGUAAAUGCAUUCAUAAUCAGAUUGGAAACAUUGAAGAUAGCUCAAAUAGAUGCACUCACCUCAGUACAAUCUGAAAUCAGUUCACAGCCAUAGAUGAAGCAGAUCACGAAUGCCCACAAACCUGCUAGUGAAAGAAGCAAAUGAAAAUCUACGUUAGAAAAUAUAAAAAACAGAAAAAUGCAAACCAUAACAGACAUCAUUAUAGGUUUCCAAGAAAAUUGAACAUAAAAUCACCGAAGGACUAAAACAUAAAUAUAUACUUGGAUGAAAAAAUGAAUGCUGAUAAUUCACACUGUUGUUGGGACUGCUUCUCCAAUAAGUUAAAAGCAAGUUAAGCAACUAGUUUUCUUUUUGGGAUACUACAGGUUAACGGGAUGGGAAAAAGAUGGAAAGUGGCGGCAGAACUAUGGGAUAUCCUCCAGAGUCCUAAGAGCUAGAAAAUUUACGAAACAAUAAGUACCAAGCUAUAAGCUAAGCUAUAUACAAAGCUUCCCAUCAGCAUUUCAGGACAAUAAAUGCAAACCUACAGGCAAUUUAUUCCUAGAAGAUUCAUAACAGGAGUCAAAAUAUUCCAGAGGACUACAUGAUAGGAAAAAGAAACAAAUUCAUAAAAGAGCAUUAGCCUAUCAACAAAAGGAUCCGAUAAAUGGCUGCUUCAAAUAUCUCUAACCACAAAACUGGGGAAAAAUUGUAUUUACAGCCCAAAAAGAUAACAAUGCAGAAACUGCAUUCGACAUUCAAAUGACAAAUUCCCAAAAUAGUAAGGAACAAUUCUGAAGGAUGCCAAGUAAAAAGUUAGCACAUUUGACCAUUUUUAAUGUUUUCUAACCAAACAAACGAGACGAUUCUUCCAGCCUCUUCCUGCUUCUAUAAUCUGAAACGUAAGAUUUUCCUUAGAACCAUAUAACUGUACUCCACCUUUAACCAUUCUAAAUACUCAGCUAGUUGGUAACUUGAAUGAAGUAAAAUUUUCAUUUCCAUAAACCAUUCUACAUAUUCUAGCAACAAUGCCGUUCAGGAUAGGAACAAUUUGUUCCAAACUAUAUAACUUAAACAUCUCAUUUAUUAAAAUAUAAUCUACAUUGAAAUCAUUAAUGUACACAGAUCUGAUACUACUGUACAUAAAACCCCUAAUAAACCUACUAUUGUACAUAAAACCCCAAACCUACAAUCUCAGGCGCGAUCAUACAGGGAGAUGGAAGGAAAGAAGAAAGAUGCACAUUGCACACAAAAUCUCAAUCAAGGGGUACCGAUGUCCUACCAAAGGCAAUGGCAGCAAAGUGAGAGUGCCAUAAGGCAACAGGUGAAGACAAAGAAAACAGAUCUAAAGAUUUCUACAAGGACGAGGAAGAGGAAGAGACUGGGAUAAUAGGUGAUCACUGUUUUUUUCAGAGAAAAAAGAUAAACACUUACUUGACUGAAAUUCACCAUGUGGCUCCAUUGUUGAACUGUCUUGGCAAUGACCAGCCAUUUCACGCAAUAUACAAGCUUUCUCUCAAUUCUUUGCUGUAAUUCUCUAGAGCAGAUGAGAAACAUAGUGUUCCCUUACGUUUCUGUAAUUUUUUUCUUUCUUUGUCCUAAAACCAUGUGAGGACGAGACUUUUAAUACCACCAAGAAAAUUUGAGAUCCCCAUAUUUAUACUUAUCAUUCCUACUCGCUUCACUUAAUUAGCCCACUGCAGGAUGAUAUGAUUGCAGUACAUUACAUGGGCUACAACCGAAAUUCAUACCUCGUGUUUGGAGUAUACAGACCAGAAAAUGAAAUAUUUUCUCCCCAUAUCAUCAAUGGAAGCGGCAAAAAAUUAAGAGAUAACAUACAUGUAACAAAGCCAUACAAUAACAGAAUAGACCAUAAUAAAUAGUGGAAAGUGUUGACAACGAACUCAAAGAAAUACAAGCUCCUAAAUGACAGGCCAACCAAACAAAUAGAAGGGAAAUCAUUACCAAGAGGUCCAACAAAAAUCCUGUGAAUUUCACAUUUAAUGAUGUAGGUUAUAAACCGACUAAGAAGUUUGAAGACACAGAUCUCAUCGAUUCUUAUUAAAGUCUGGAUUCUAAAGCAUAGAAAUGUAACUAUUCUUGAAUUAAAGUCUGGACUCUAAGGCAUGGAAAUCUAACUGGCAAGGAAAGGAAGGAAACAGACGACAGAAGAUCAAAAUGAGUGGAGCACACAAGAUAGGCAAAGGAAUGGCGAGUUUCAAAUCAUGUAACCUAUUAACUAUCACUACCAUGUCCACUUUAGCAGGCAAUUUCACAUAUUGAAUGCCACUUUAUACCUUUUCUUCAGAAUAUGGUCAAUCCCUUCCCAAGAUACUCUACUCACUAAAUGGAUUGAACAGAUUACCAACAACAUCCAUAUGUUCAUGAAUAUCUAUUAAACACAAUAAAAGUUUAGAGUGAGUACAAGUGUCAAUAUCAAAGUUACAAGACAUUAAGUUAAGGCACAGUUCAAGAGGAAAAAAACAUGUCCUUCAUUCCAUUCGAAAUCAUCUGCACCUACUCUCUCUGUUUAUGUGAAAUCUGAAUACUUGAAAGUUUCACCUUUUGACCACCACCAGAAUAAAAAAUGAGAUAACGUCUCAACAAGACAAUAUAUCAUAUUCUAGAAACUUGUGAGGUACUUAAUACCCAUAGGUGAUUCUUCAAAAGGUUGAGAAGCAAUCACCCCUCCACAAAAUCCAACGGCCAUUGCAUCUCUAUUGAAAUGCCAAUCUUCCAAGACAUCUUAAAAAGAAAGUGGUGAAUAUCAAGAGAGAAUUUUAUUCAGAUGAAUAAAAAGUUAUAAAUACAAGAAAACAAGUAAUCUAUUUACAAAGAGUUGAAAAGCAAACUAAUCCUAAUCCUAAUUUAUAAAAGAAACUAAUUGCAAUUAUAAUUAAUAAAAGAAACAAAUUCUGAUCCUAAUCCUAAUCAAAGAAACAAAUCCUAAUCAUAAUUAAUAAUUAAUAAAAGAAACUAAUCUAAUCCUAAUAAACCAAAUAAACUAGAUCUGAAUCCUGAUAAAUCAAAGAAACUAAUCGUAAUCCUAAUAAAUUAAGGAUUUGACCAUAAUAUCCAAAUCGUACUACAUCAGAAAGGAUGGGAGUGGAAUGUAGAUUUUAAAGCUAGAGACAUCAGGGGAAAAACUACAUUAUAGGAAGAAUAGGAAGCAAUAUCAGUUAAAGAAAAAAAAUCUAACCAAAAUAAAAGGAUGAAAUCUAGAUCCAAAAAUUGAACCAAAAAAAUUAUACUCCAACCAUUACAUGUAAAUCUGACUGUUGCGGACCUUUACUACACCAAACCAGGAAACAAAUAAAUGUAGCCAAAUUCUUUCUAACCAGCAGAUCAGAAUGGAGAAAUUACAGAAUGAGAUGGGAACAAUGUGGCUCCUGCUUACUUGCACGCCAUCAGUUGCAGAGACAACGUUUGCCCUAACUUCAUAAAUUACAAUGGUGAGUAGUAUGUCUUGCAUGCACAUUUCAAAGGUCUCCCACAGCGAGGAAUUUAUACAUGUUUUUGAAAUUUAUUAGAACCAAGUAGUAUGCCUUACAUGCACCUAGUUGGUUUACUUUUUUUCCUUUUUAUAAUGAAGAUCUAAUCUUCGAUUGAGGAAAAAAUGUAUACGUGAGAAAAUACAAGGACAUUAUAAAACAAAUAAUAACUUUAAAAAAGAAGGCCACAAAAGAAAAUCUUGCUUGAUAAAGGGACUCCAAUCAAGUAAAGACCUCACCUAACCAAUAAUUGCAAAAGGAUUUCAUCACUGACCUCCACAGGGAAUCACGGAAUCCUAGCAAGGGACCAAACAACCCAAGGGUCACUCCUAACUCCUCUAAAGUUGGUUUAUUAUUCUUUUUCGUGCCAUCAUUUAUUCUCUAAAUUUUGGAUGUUGAAAACAACUCGGAUCAUUUCUUGGCUUGCUGCCCUUGGGAGGGUUAUCACAUUACUUAAUCUAGAGAGCCACCAUCUUUUUAUUUGGCACCACAACCUGCAUUUGCGCAAGAAACACUUCAAAGACUGAAACUAUCUUUUGUGGCUUUUUCCUUUUUACUCCCAAUAUAUGGUGCUCAUUGUGACAUGCUUUUCAGUUUCCAUGGGUUUGGGGAAUGGCACAUAUUAACACGUAUCUUCAAGUUUGUAUUUCUAAACCCUCUUGUAGUUGGCUUUAACAAAAUAAUAACAAAUAGCUAAUAAUAUACUUGCUAGACAUUAAUCUGGCAAUUUUACCGAAAGUGCACAAAGGAGGUCAAGGAAAAAAAAGGUUUCUAGACAUCAAUAUGGUUACCAAAUAUCAAGACCACUUUUUCAGUUACCAGGAAACUUUGUUUACUAGAUACAUAACAUAAUUAAACCCCAAGAAAAAGUGAAAUCACCAAUCCACCUCCAAUAUGUGGAUCCCCAUCAAGAGAAAAGAGAAGACUAAAUCCCAAAAGAUAAGCAGCGAACUCAACCUAGCCUAUCUAAUUCUUAGAACUUCAUUCUUAAAGCUGCUAAGUGAAAUGCUUAGCAAAUCUGCGCUCACACACCAAAAAGAACUGCAAUGUAGAUUUGCAAUUCAAAAAACUAUGUGUAACCUUCUGGAAUGUACCAGAAAACCAAACCCAAAAUGAAAAUAAAUAUCACAUCUGAAAUGUGUAGAGAGGCAUAUACAGGGAAAAUAUAUAAUUUGAAAAAAAAAAGUAGAAUACUGCAUCAAUGGGCCAAGCUAAUUGUCUAACAGAAGUACAACUUGAAAACUGUUAAUAAGCAAACCUCCUAAAAUGUUUAUCACAAAACAACACAUCAGAUCCAGACCUAAUUAUCAAUGCUUUGUGAUUUGAACCUCAAUCCCUCUGCAAGAAACAUCUUAGCAGGAUAUCAUGCAUCAUUCUAUCUAUGUCCUUGAGCCCGUUGUAUGUCAUACGCACCCCAGGGAACAGAUCCAGGUCCAUACGGAGGAUAACCUUCAGUACCAGACUGCACCUAUAAUUUACAGCAAAACAAAUAAUAUACCAUUCAAAACAACGAAAAAUAUAGGAAUCCAAGAAGAGACAAACAAAUGGUACACGAGAAGUCAAAGACCCCCCAAAAACCGAGCAUGCUUGCAUUGAAUUGCAAAUACUCCAAAAAGGCUUUGAGUGUAUAAGUCAACUUUGUUUUAUGACAAACCUUUUUUUGUUGAAACCUAGCUUUGAAGGAGCGUACAUAAAGACAGCCCAAUAAAAUAGCAACCCCUUUUUCUGUUGUAAAUAAUAGCAGCACAUGCUUGUAAAUAUUUUGGUUUUACUACUGCUUUAUUUGUCUUUCAUUAUUUUGUAAAGAUUUUAAAUGCUAUAUGCAAAAGAAAUUAAGGUCCAGAGCCUACGGUGAGGUGCAAGAAAAGUAGGAGCAAACGCGUGUAAAUACCUUUGCUUUUACUUUUUGCUUCCUGUCCCUAGUUGAGGUUGGCCGAUAGAAAUAGGGAGGGAGAGAGGUUUGUGAGUGUGGCAAAAAAUAUAUAAAUAAUAACAUAAUAUUAACCUAAUAUAACUAAAGAAAAUUUAAUAGUGUGAAGCUUAAAAUAACUAUUAUGCUUUGUAUCUCAUUGAAUAAUUUAACUAAUUUAGAUAUGAAUUACUGUUUGCCAAUUUGAGAAACAUAGAAAGUUUCUGACUUCAAAAAUGUAUCCACGUUUUCAUGGCUUACAUGAUUUUUCAGAAAUAUUCAUACAUUUCAGAAAAAUUGAAUCAGACAUUUUUUAUCCAUGUUAGAACUUUUCUUCUUUCCCAGAUGUGCCGCACACUGAAGUCUAUACAACCAACAGCUGAAGUAAUAGACGGGGUGAAAACUUACGGAGUUCAAGCCAUAAUUGGUAGAAUAUGGAUUUCCCCCGUAUCCAGCAUCAGCAUUGCCAUAAUUUGCUCCAUACCCAGCAGCUAGAUAAAUUAUUUAACAGGGUCAGGGAGAACAUACAACAAUGUGAACUACAGGAUAUUUCAAUUAAUGGAAUAUUUUGCACAAAACUUAUCAAAGCUCUUCAAUCGAAGAAGAACCCACUUUUCAUCUACAUACCAGAUUCUAGCUAGACUUAAGUGGGUGGGAUGAGCUAUAAUAAUCCACUCCAUGUUUGGAGCUCCAAUAAUAAUCGUUGAUAUUUUCGAAUAUUAUAACCUACAAUUAACUACCAUAUCAUUAUUCCAAAUUCCUAUUUGUUACAAUGUUUACCAUUUCCUACUUACCUUCUCAUUCCCUCUUUAUUAUAGUGUUGAUUAUUUCCUACCUAGACUAACAUAAUUUAGACCCCAAAUACAAACUAUUAUAACCCAGACUAAAUAGUUUGCACCCCAAGUAUGGACUUUUAUAACCUAUAGACUAUUAUAACCCACGUACUAAAAGAACAGUUGACUGUAAUAAACCACUUAGUGCUCCACAUACCCCUUAAGUUCGUCUAGAAUCAAUCAUCGGACUGAGUUUGUUGAUUCCAAAAUUGGGGUUUUGACUAUGCAAGUAUAAUGUCUAAAUUUGGACAUUUUAAAGUACAAGGACUAAUAUGAUCUUAGAUUAAAACAGAGUAACCAUUAGGAACUUAAAACUCAAAAGAAUGUGCAUACCAGCAUUUCCACCAACAGCAGCAGAAGCAUGAGCUCUCUUCUCUGCAUUAGCAACCUCAGCUCUAAGUUUCUCCAAUUCCCUUGCCAUUGAAACCAGUUUCUUCUCCAUAACCUGACCGUGUUCAUAAUUCUCCGCAUAUCCCUUCUUUUCAUACUCAAUUGCAACUCUUGAUAAGCAAAACAUAUACAUGCUAAUUAGAAUUACAAAAUAGAUAUCCAACCAAAAAAAAACCUCAAUCGCCCAUCGAAAUUUACAAUCCAAGAGACUGCCAUAAAAUACCUAGCACGAUGUAAUUCCUGCUUCACAGUUUCAAUCUCUCCCCUCAAAGCAGGGACCUGCUGCAAAUCUGCAGUAAUUCUAGUUAGAUCUUGUGUCAUUGCUUGUACUUGCCCAUUAAGCUCCUGCCUUGCAGCAGUUAAUUCCUUGACAUCAGAAUGAACUUGAAGAAGCUCUGCUCGCAUAGUCUCAACUCCUCGCAUAUCAACCUCUAGUCUUACUGACUUUUCAUAUAAUUCUCUCAUCUGAAUGUCCCUUUCUGCAUGUAAGGAAUCGGCAACAUGAGCCAUGCGUUGCAACUCAUGCUGAGCUGCUUCUAGUUCUUGCUUAAGCGCAACAUGGGUUGCAGCUAGCCUCUGGUUGUCAAGAAGAAGACCUUGAAUAUCUUGAUGUUGGGCAGCAAGACGCUCCUCGAUUAUCGCAGGGUGUGGAGGAAGAGACACUGGAUGCAUCCCAUACUGUGAUUCCCUGAUUUCCUCAAGAAGCACUGGAUGUGGCAAUGGCCCAAGACCUCUAGCAAAAGGAGGUUCACGAACUGGUGGUAGUCCACCAUGAGGCACACCAUUUAGUGGGAUGGGGGGUCCUCGAUUUCUUCCAGACAUAAUCUAUUAUAGAAAACCCAAAAGAAAGACUUAAUGAAAUAUCAACAAAUUAAUAAAACUAAUUUUUGAAAGAAAUAUUCAUAGACUACAUGUAAUCCUGCUUCUGAAAAGAAAAAACAAGCAGACAAAGUAUUCACUUCUAACAUCCCAAGAAAAAACAACUAGCCAUCCAACGAUUUAAAGAAUCUAAAAACCCAUUUACGCCCAAGGAAACCCAAGAAUUUUCAUGCCAGCAGAAAAACAACCGCCAGUAUGAAAUACUAUGAAUCAAACCCAAUCCCCCAAUUAUAUCGAAUCAAUAACAAACCCCUUAAAGAUCGAAUCGAAAUAUCCCAAAACCCAAAAACAAGUUACAUUUCUAUAGUAGGACUGACUAACAUAAACAUCAAGAAGGCAGCUUUCUAUCUACGGCCAGGAAAGCCACUCCAUCCGAAGCAAUCGGAAUGUCAAAACACCUACGUAGAAUUCGAUAAGUUAAGCAUUAUCGAUCAGCUCAGCCAUGUCAAAUACGAAUAGGAAACUGAAGAAUCAUUGUUUGACACGAACGGGACUCAUUCUACACGAAUACGAUGAACGAUGAAACAACGAAAUGGAUCGAAAUCCAAAAACUAACCUUUCGGGGGAGGAGAAAUCCGAGGGAAAAUGGAUAAGUAUGAAAGUAAUAGGAAUUAGAGGGGAUGGGAAUUAGGGGAUUAUCAUCCCGUCAAUUCAAUUGGGUUGAAAAUAAAAACCCUAGCAGGGUUUCUUCUUCUUCUUCUUCUUUUUUCCGCCCUUUUUUGCUUUUGUUCGUUUUACCGCUUGUUUGGACACGAAGGAGUAACUUCGUUGAAUAAGUUUGACUCUUUACACCUAUCAAACAACUUCAUUUUUGUUAGAUCAAUUAAAUUGCAAUCCAUCUUCAAAUUUUUUAUAUAUAUACAUAUAUAUUUUAUAUGCAUGUCCACCAUUUUCAUGUCAAAAAAAACUCGACAACGUCGUUGAUCUUAUAACAUUUGAGUAUAAAAAAACUCACGAGACAAUUUACACUAUAACAUUUGGAUGAAAACUCGUACAUCACUGAUUAGGUGGCCGCCGAACGCAUAACAUCUUAAUUACUCAUUGAGACUGUAUCUUUUUUUUUACCACUACGUCAACUUAUGAUAAUUACCACUAGAUCAACGAUGGUUCCAAAAUUUUUAUAUUUUUCUUUUAUAGUUCAUUUGAAUUUACCUUUAAAAAAAUAUUUUUUAAUAUUAAGCAGAACACUUAAAUAAGGAUUUUGUUUGACUUUGGACAUUUGUUUUUAAAAAAUAACUUAUUUUAAAUUAAACCCAAAAUAUAAUUCAAGCACACCAUUUCUUUUACAAUCGUGCUGGAAAAUUACUGAUUUCUAUGCAUCCUUAUUUCUUAGUUAUUUCGUUCCAAUUUUCCACUUUUUUCCAUCUAUCUGUUUUUUUAUUUUAUUAUUUUAUAUAUAUCUUCAUUUGAAAUAAAAUUAAUUAAGACUAACUUUAAAAAUAGAAUAUAAAAUAUUUACUUUAAUAAAUUGGUAAUAGUCUAUUCAUAUUUAUUUAACUUAUUUUACAAUACAAAAUUAUUGAAUGAAUACAAUUAUUUUUUACACAAAUUAUUGAUUAAUUAGCUAACAAUAUACUAAAUACAUUUAAUUAAUUAAAUUUAGUUAGUACAAUAUUUUAUUUUUAAAUAACUGUAAUUGAUUAAUUUGUUAUAUUUUUAAUAAUCAAGCAAUUAUUUUAUAGAUUAAUUUUAAUUUAUAUUACUCCAUCUAUUGAAAACAUAUAAUAUUUAUAAAACCUUUUUUUAGUAUUAUUUAGUGAUAUAAUUAUGUUGUAUUAAAAUAUAUUUUCUGAUAGUAUUUAAUUAAAAUUUAAAUUACCAACAGAUAGACUUGAUUACUUAUAAACAUAAUUAAAUAUUAGAUUAUAAUUAAUAUUACGUUCAUGGUUAAUUUUAAUGGCCAGUUUGUUAAAAAAUGUAAUUAACAAUUACUCAAUUGAAAGUUAAUUUGUAAUUAAAAUUAUUGUUGAUUCCAAACUAAUUGAUUUUUUCAGAUAUUAUUUAAUUAAUUAAUCUAUUAAAUUUAUAUAAAAAUUUUCUCUUUAAUUUCACUGACGAAUAAACAUCGUUAUUUGGAACUUUCCAAAACUAACACCAAUCGACACUUUCGGAUUUCAGUUUGGUAUUAAUAUUACGUUCAUGGGUAAUUUAUAUAAUAUAUAACAAUACUAUAACAUCAAAUCAAUGUAUACCAAAUCACAAAACCAUGAGUGAUGAUCAUCGAUCAAUCGUGUCGGUUUAACACCUAUAAAAUACUAUUUGGAAUUUCUCAAUUUGAAACUUUUUCAAACCAAUCACUCUUGUUUUCCAACCGAAUUGAACCUACUUUGAUUUGGUCGAUUAAUUCAAAUUUUCAAUUUAUACCAUGUCCAUCACUGGAAACCAGUUAGAAGUAAGUGAGAUGGAGAAGAUUAAAACAAUUCUCCUGUAAAUCUUUAGGAGAACCGAUGUGAAUAAAAAGACAGGUGAUGCAACUUGAAAGGAAAGUGUUGAGAUAAUAUAUACAAAGGUACACAUAAUUAAUUAUGAUAAAAUUUGAACACAAGAAGGGACCAUAGGCAUUCAUUGUUUUAUUAUUAUUUGUUCCUAUCAUAUUUUGGUAAAAAUGAAUGAAAAUAGAAAAUAGAACAAACAUAAGCAAUGAGUGGUUACAUUUUAAUCACAACCUUCCAAAGUCCGUGAGUGAUAUUAAAUAUUUGCUUCAAACGGUGAGACAUCUCCAACGUCUCAAACCCAGCGGUGGAUCUCACCUCUCUCUCAAAAUACUACUACUCCUCUUUAUAAUCAAAAAUGUUCCCUCAAAUAUCAUUUUCAUCCCUAUCCGUAUAUCUUUUUGAAUAAUCUAAAAUCUAUUUUCAAUCAUAAAAUUAGUUCCACUAUGCACAUCAAAAUUUAAAGUUUAUAAAAAAUUUUAAAUAAUACAUUUUACAUCUUGAUAAAAAAAAAAAGAACAAAAAUUAUUGUAUUACUUUACUAAGUCAGCCGAAAUUCACUUAGUUAAGUUGCUAUAUACAUUGAACUAUACUUGUAUUGAGGCUUGCUAUCAUGGUAAAAUAACCAUGUUUAACUAGAACAUAAACAUACAUGAGAUUGAGCUUAAGAAUUAUUCAUAUUAAUAUGAGAAGUUUGUCGGGUGAGAAUUUGAAUAAUAGAUGAGGUAUAAGAAUAAAGUUGGAAAUUUUGUAUAUAAAAGCAAGAAGUAUUUAUGGGGUGAUUAAUUUGUGAUGGAACAAAAUGUAAAGAUUGAGGUGGCACGUAUUAAUAAUCCUAACAAUUAUUGGCUCUCGUAUUCAAAAAUUGAAAUAACAACAACGGCAACAUUGGAUUUAAAACGCAAAUAUUAUUAUGAUUACUAAUACUAAUAAUGACAAAGACAAUAUAUAGCUCCGACUUCAUCACCCUUCUUCCAAUCAUGCAUUGGAACCCAUGGAAGCUCUGUGGAAUUUGGAAGACAAAUGGAAGCUCUCAACCCAACAAGCCUUCGUUCUCUUAACGUGCACGGUGGCCGCCGUCAUUGGGCUCUGUGCGGCCGCGUGGGCCAAGAAGAGAAAGGGGGAGAAGAAAGCCCACCCACGACGGACAGAUCAGAGGUGGUGGAAAUGGCCGGCAACGGAAAGUAGGCGGAAGGGGAGCGGCGGCGGAGAGACACCGGUGCGGCUUUUGGGCAGAGAAGAGGAAGGGGAAGAAUUGGGAAGCCGGAAUUCGACGGCAGCGGUGUGGCAACGGCCGAUAUUAAUGGGGGAAAAGUGUGAGAUGCUGAAGUACAGUGGGCUUAUUCUGUAUGACGAAAGGGGAAGAUUGCUGCAGGAACAAAUUGCCGCCAUGGAAAAUGGUUACAAGGUGCUGCUCCGUAAGUUAUUUGGGAGAUUUGAACACACAAACCUUUUUAAGAUUUUUUUUAACAAUUCUAAACUUUUCGAUAACUUUUUCAAAUCUUAUUAAGGAAAGUGACAAUUACUAACUCUUUCAAAGGCUAUACAUUUUGAAGAGAUGUUCGAUCUCUCAUACUCACAAUUCUUUUAGUAACAAAUCCAAAGAAAAAAUAUGUUAGAAAAAUCAGUGAAUGUGAUUAUUAUUGUUUAAACGUCAGAGUUGGAAUUUCAACAAAGGAUUUCCAAUGGUUAAUUAAUGGACAAGUUUUUAUUUUUUUUCUCCUUUAAGUAAAUUAAUGGACAAGUUAGCCUAAACUAAAAUUGUUAUUUAGUGAUAAUAGCUUCCAAACAAAGUAAUCAUGACCUACUAUCAUUAUUCAAAUGUACUAUAACACAUUUAAAUAUAUAAAGAGAUAAGAUUUUCUAGUAUUUAAUUGAGUUUUUUUCUUUUGUUGAUAAAUUAUGUAUUGUUCUUUUAAAGUAUAUCUAUUAUCACAAAAAAUAAAAUUAAUCAACUAAUUAGGAGGUAAGAGAGAUAUGAGUGUUUUGACUCAAGAAAGAAAAUGAGUAUAUGUCAUUUGGUGUUUGUACUUUUUCUCCUGUCUUUUAACAUCGCAUGUGUUGUUUGAUUGAUUACAUGUAGGAAGGAGAAGUCAUAAAAGUAAAGACAAGGUUGAAGGAUCUACUUUGAUGCUCUUUCUCUAUGAUGGGAAUUUUAAGAAAAGAGGUGUAUAAAUUAUACAAAGGGGUGAGCUUUUCCAAUGUAAUAUUCCUUUCUUCUUUUUGAUAGAUUAUCUCCUAAUAACUUUUCUUUCUUUUCUCUUUUUACACAUUAUCCACUUCUCUUGCUUUCAUUUUCUUUUGUGAUCUUUAGACAAUUAUCAAGUAUGAUGUAAAAUGGAACAAAAGUAGCAGCUGAAUAAGUUCGAAACAAGUGCAAGAUGUAUCUAUCGACAUAUAGCCGAACUUAGCCAGGUUUAAAUCCAAGCUCUAUCCCAAAUCAAUGAGUAAAAUUGGAAGAAGAACCUACUGGGGAUGGUUAAACUUCAUUCGUUGUCCUUUCUUUAGGUUCUUAUUUGAUACAAGAUUCUUCAAAUCCAAACAGUUCGUAGCAAAAUCAGAGAGAGAGAGAGAGCGAGAGAGAGUGGAGCAGCAGAGCAUUGGAACAAAGCUUUUAAAUCACAAGGCUAAAAAAUAUUACAACAUUCUUCACUCUUGAGAAUUUCGGGUUGGUUGUCUAAAAAUACACCAUUUAACUGAUUGGUGGGUUGAAAAAACAAACCAAUCAAUCAAAAUGGAGAAAUUAAUGGAGAGGGUAAUUUUACAGCAAAACACAAUGUAGCCCGAGAACGGCUCGUUGGCUAACAACGAACUGCACACCAAUGCUGUGGAAGAACCAAUUAUCAAACCCUUGGAAAUCUGUUGUUCCUGCGGUAUAUGAAAAACAUUUUCAGAUUGGCUAUUUUCCUAUUUUCCACACCAUGUCCUAAGGAUAAUAGGAAUCCAAAAAACUAGAUCGUUAAGUUCGGUAGCUAACAAGGAUAGAUGAUAAAGUAGAUGGAAAUUGAAAUCUUACCUCAUUAUCAUGAUGUAAAUACACAAUGUACAUAUCUACGCAUAGGAUACAAUUAGAGGUUCUCUAGACUCCUCUCUAGCAACUCGACUGAAGUAGCAAUACAACACCAAUUGAACACUCCCCAACAGAGUUCCUAUCCCAUUUGGGGCCUGAAGUAUGGCAGGAAAAACAUUUACGUCACAUAAUAAAUGGAGUAAAAGCACAAUGAACAACGGAAAUGGGUAGGAUAAUGCUUACAUAAACGAAUAGAUCGUAAUUGAACAGUCCAUAGAGGAAAAAAGAUAUGCUCAUGAGGAAGGUUGAAAGCGAGAGAUAAAAUGGCAUAAACUCCACACUUUUUGUUCGAAUCACCAAAUUCUGAGAGCACAUCAAAGAAAAUUGAAGGGGUAAGAAAACUAGAAAAGUAGGUAAGCCUUUAAAAACGUCCAACAAUAAAAGAUAGAAAAGAAGCUUAAAAAUAGACUUACAAUAAUAAACAAGGGAGAGGCGAACAUUGAUACGAGAGAAGCACAACUCAAAAUCCCGACAACAUUCCGUCGCAAAGAGAGGUCAGCUAUUUGUAAGCUCCCAAUAACAAUAACUAUGAAAAGGCCAAAUAUUCCAAGCAACAAUCCUAACAUUUUUAUCUGUUACAACAUGAAGAGAAUAUUUCAAUAAGUUAGACCUUUCGGCUUUCACAGAUUCCCAUCAUUCAUAAAGACAUAGUCCAGUACAUAUUAUAGACAAAUUAAUAACCACCUUUUUCCCCUUUUCAGCAUAUGUUAUGAAGAGCAUGAUGUAGACUAACUGAAAUACAGCGCCGAUCGAAUUGACCGUCAUGACCAUCGUGUUUCUUGGAGAAAUGAGGGGUGUGCCAUACCAUAGGCAAAUAAGGCAGUUUAACAGAGCAUAUAUGUAUGGCAAACACGAAAACUGUUCUGUUGUUUUGUUUCUGAUCACACGUCUAAAUGUAUCUCUGCAAAUUAAUCGCAAAGAAAACAAACCAAUAAAAUGAUGAGCAUAUAAAUUCUACCACCAUUAUUUAUCUAGAAAGUCUAGUAGAGCAGAUAGCUAAAACUUACAAGGGUGACAGGAAAAGCCCAAAAGCAAAUAUGUGCCCUGCAAAUGGAUAAAAGUACAAUUUUCAUCAGGAAAAUAAAGAUUAAAGUUCCAGUUUAACGAUCAUUUGGUUUUUAAUCAUUCAAGAGUGUAAUUGUUUUCACACAUUUUCUUUACAAUAUUUGUCAUCUUUUCGAAUUUGUAGCUAAACUUAAAACAGGAAAACUAGUUUCUAAUUUCCAAAAACUUGUUAAUUCAACCCUUUCUUCUUGAAGGUGAAGACAAUACAAAAGAAAUGACGAUGAACCAAACCUAAAUAAAAACCCAAAAAUGGUUAUCAAAUGGGGCUAUUACGAAUCUUUUCAAAUCCCUUCCCUUCACUGUUCUUUACAGAUACAAAGAGUUCAUAAUAACUUAAUCUAAUUAAUCUACUGCUGAUCAUCAAACAAACUUCAUUUUAAUCAAAACAAAUACAAUGAGAUACCAAAUAGCAGAAAUGAAUGAAAUGGGAUUCAAAGAAAUAAAAUACAGGGGAGGAAAAAUAAUCAAUAAACAAACGACAUAGCAAAACAAACACAGAAGCUCCAAUUUCGGAACACGUUAUUAACAAAAAUGAUCAAAAGGGCAUGUCCAAAUUGAAGGCAAAAUCCACUUCCCCUCUAAGAGGUUCCAAAACAAAACAAUUUCGAAACACGUUAUAACAAAAAUGAUCAAAAGGGUAUAUCCAAAUUGAAGUGAAGACUCAUUUCCCGAAAGUAUUUUCCAAACAAAACAAACUUCUCCAGCCACUAAGGGAAGAAUUGAAGACAAGAAAAAGACGUACCAGCUACCCCAGCUGCAUCCCUGCAAAUUGAGAAGAUGGAACCGAGAAGAACCAUCUAGAAUAACUUUGAAGACACAACAAAAACUCUUCGUCUCUUGUAAACAAAUGCAGCAGCAACAGAAAAAAAUAUCGCCGCCGGAAUAUCACCGGAAUCAAAUGGUGGGAUCGAUUUUGAAACCCCCAGAAGCGAAAAGAGAAGGAUGAAGAAGAAAAAGGGGAGACCCAAUUGAGAGAGAAGAAUCAAGGGGGAAAAAACGAUAUUUUACGGGGAUUUCGUUAAUUGAAAAAAUGGGAAAAUGGGUUUUUUAUAUAGACAAAAAAAAGAACAGGGUGGAAGUGGACGGAUCUUCCUGAUGAACAUGAUUUUUAUUAUUUGUUAUUCUUCUAAAAGAAAUUUAAACGAAUUUUAGAUUUAUCUUGUGGGGGACAACAUUUCUUUGGUGGAGAAGGGAUGUAGAAUAGAAGUGAUCCAAAAACGAGUAGACAACAAGGAACUCAACUAAUUUUUGAAUAAAGUCGAUGAAUAUUAAACAGAUAGGUUAUAACAAAAAUUAAUAAUAGUUAGGGGUUCUUGGGAACGCGGAGAUUUGGGAUUAUCUCAAGACUCAGAUCAUAAGAUUGAUGACUAACAAUAAUAAACUAUUUGAAUUCUUCAUUACUAUUUUCUUUAAAUCUCCUUUCAAACGGGAUUGAGAGAAUCUUAAACUUACAGAAUAUUUAUUCUCAAUUUUGCAUCUCAAUUUUUUCUUUUCAUUCUUUUCAAAACUAUAAUAAACUAACCGCAAAAAACCAUCAUACCAAAUAUUUAUGAAAAUUAAUUUUUUUUUCUCUUUACUUCCGUAAUUUUAUAGGAUUUUUCGUUUUGUUACGGUACUAAAUAUUUUACCGAUUUGCUAUAUUUAUCUUUAUUAUAUUUUGUUACAUAAAUAUUUUCGUGGAUUGUUGUAAAAAAAUCUCAUUCAAAUUUAUUCGAAUGACUUAGGCGCAGAAAAACCUCUUUUGAAUCACAAUGCACAAUAACAAUGAGAAUAGAGUAUGUGUCCAGUACAUGCAACACUUAUUUAUUUUAACACAAGCUAAAACAGCUACAAAUAAGAUAAUAUAAAUGUUGCUCUUAAACAAACUCAACGACCAACCUAACAAGAGGACUAGGUGAAAUGCACAACAACAUCAGCCUGAGUAACUUAACUUCCAUAGCAACCGUGCAUUGAAUAAAGGAAAUGUUGGUUGGAGAAAUAUAAAAGACGAUUGCCACCAACAAGAAAAGUAUCCUGGAUAAUAGGCAUUUAUGAAUAUCAUCCCUCUUUCAAACAACAACAAUGCAACGAUCGUAUCAACAAAUAUUGUCAAUUUUGUAAAACCUAACAAGUUCAAAUAAAUUUAGGACAAAUUUAGGUCGUAUCAAUUUGAACUCUAAACCAAAUAAUGGUAUAAAUCUAUCGCUAUACUAACAAUAGAGAUAUUUAAAAAUUUUAAAGUUGUUUUUUUUCAAUUUAAUAUAUUAACCGUUUUAGUUCUUAUACUAAUUGUUGUAGUUGUUUUCUUAAUGUUGGAUGAUAUUUUUUAAAUAAAUAAUUCAUGGAUAUUUUUUAAACAAAACUUUAACCUUUUUUAUCCAAAAGCUAAUAAAAUGGUAUUUUAAAAACUUAUGAAUUUUUUACCUAAAAGUAAAGUCGAUGAACUUUUCAUUUAUUUAUUUAUUUGUAAAUUUAGCCUUAAAAAUAUUAUAACAUUUUACUUUAUAUCAAUAAUAGAACAUGAUAGACCAUGUAAAUACUUUAGUGAUAGACACUCUAUCUCGAUCUCGAUCUAUCAUAGUCUAUCAUCAAUAAAAGGUAAAAUUUUACUAUAUUUGUGAUUUUUUCAACAGUUUUAUCGUUAAAAAAGAUCAAGUUUCAUUUACAAACGACAUAAAUUAACCUCUCCACCUUUCUUAAACAUAGAUCACAUCAUCACACUAAUAUCUUCAUAGGCGAGUUUGAGUUUCUUCCACAUAGUUCUUUUAUCUCUACAUUAUUCCACUUUGUUAGUCUUUUUCUAUCUUGUCAACUUUUUAGUACUAUUUGUUACCUUUUAUCGUAAUAAUAAUUUCAAUAUUUUCAAUGAAGUUUCUCAUUUUUAACGUAGAACGUAAAUUCUCUCUUCCCAUUGUUCACUUUAAUAAUGAAACUAAAGUCAACAAUAGUGUAUGCACGUCUUUGUUGUUGUUAUUAUCGUUUUAAAUCCACUUUUAAUUAAAUCAUAAAAAUCAAACUUCUAAAAAAAAUAUUUCGUAUAUAGAUAUAUACCUAAAAAAAUUAAAAUAAACAAUCAUCAAUUUAUUUUUUCUUUUGAUAAUCAUGUGGAUCACCACUCAAAAAAAAUCACAUAAACCAAACUUAUAACUAAGUGUCGCUUAUAGUAAUAAAAAUAUGUUGAUAUUUCAACGCAACCUAAAGCUAUAAUAAAAUAUAAGUAUGAUACGUGUCAGUAACUAUAUAUAUAUAUAGAUCAAAUCUCCUACUUUUACGAUAAGAAUAAUAAUAAAAAAAAGAGUGAAACAUAAUAAAAGUGGGUAAUUUAGCAUGUGGCUAUUAGAAAGAUGAUGGGGUCAUAUAUGUUGGUGGGUCAAAAGGACAUCUAACUUUUUUUUAUUUUCUCCUAAACAUAUAAUACUAAAAGGACAAAGAAGAGAGAAAAUAAAUAAAUAAAUCUUUAGGUUGUGAUAUGAAUGAAUUUAUGUCCUACGUGGAAAAUUAAGAUGUAUAUAUAUAUACACACAUAUAUAUAAAAGAAAAGAAAGAAUAGUAGACAAGUUGUCAAAUUGAAAUAAAGAACGUGCAGUGCACAAAUAUUCAUAUAAUUUGGUCUAUAAAAAAUCUAUGCCACUAAUUUCAAUAACUAAAUGUGGAUGAUAUUCAAACAACCAAUUAUCAAUAACUAUUCAUUCAUACCAAGUAUAAUAGCCUACAUAAUAAUUCAAUUAUUAACAUAUAUAAAGACGAAUGAACCUAACGUGUUUGUUACUAUAUGCCAUGUAAAAUCGUAAUCAAUUCAUAUGUAGUAUCUUAAUUAUACAAUAUUUGAGAAUAGUUUAAUAAGACUAAGUCCAAUGGUAAUAGAUAAAAAAAAAAUCAAUUAUACAUGUAUAUCGUACGUCUUUCUCUUCAAUCUCUUGAUUUCUCUCAUCUCUCUUUAUUACAUAAUAACAAUCAAACAAUAAGCUACCGAUCAAUUCUAAUAGCGUGCUUGACUAUAUCAUUGUUAUAGUAAAUAAUUAAUGUCCUUAAUAGACAUUUUUGAAAGUUGAGGGGCCGCUUUUUAAUUAACGACCCAACUUAUCUUAGAAAUUAGUUCAUUUCUUUGAAUGGGUAUUUUGAUUUCUUUUCAACAAGAUAUGAAAAUUGUGGAAUUAUUUUCGAACUCAUGAUUGUUUACUUUGUCUAAAGCAAUAGUAAUGUGAAUCAAAAUGAUAUUAACUAAAUUUAGAAGGUCCGUAACAUUAAAUAAAGGUGACAGAGUUGAACAAGAACAAUAUGUUUAUAGACAUAUCUACCUUAUUUAAACAUUGAUCAAAUAAACAUAACUUUAUAAAUGUUAUAACUAAACUCAUUACUAUAUGAUUGUGAAAUUUCUAAAUUAAGAAGAAAAAACAAGUUUUGAAAAAAUAGAAUAAUUUUGAAACAAAUCACAUUUUGGUAUUACUAAAACAGAAAUAAACAACUAUCAAUCAAGUACGUAUUUAUUGAAAAUAUCAAACAAAUGUUAGACAUUAUUACAUCUAAAUUAAAGCAUGUGGACCAAUUUUUUCGUCUUCUAAAACUACAAAAUAAAUAUACCAAAUGAAAGGAGGAAAGAUAAUGAAAUAAGGGCCAUGUGUUUCUUUUUUGUUCGAAAAAGUCCAUAUCAUUCUAAAAAUAUACGAAAAUAAUUUAUAAUUUAAAUGUGAUUGUAUCUAUCUUUGUGUCCCUUAUAAGUUUGAUUUUUCACCGACAAUUUUUGUUUACAUUUUAAAAAUAUUUCAACUAUUCUUCUUUAAUUUUUUUUGUAUGUGAUCGAUAUUGUGACGUAUAAAGAUUAUUUGGUGUGUAAAGUGUUAUUUGGGCAGUUCUAUAUGUAGAGGGGAAGAAAUUACAUAUAUUUUUUUCAUUGGUUCAAAAUAUUAGAAUUAGAGAUGAAAUUGCUUUUGUCCUUUGCUAAUUCUCAAGUGAAAUAAAAUAAUUGUCAAAUAGGGAUGUCAAUUUUCCACACAUAUUUUAUAGUAGCCCAUGAAUUUUAUCCACAAUAUAUGGCUGAGGUGUUUUCAACCAUUAAUUUAAGAUUCUUGGAAAUCUUUUGAAUGACCAAAAGUUUUAAAAAAUAGGAAAUUUGUCCAAGAAAAAAAAAUUUACAAAAUAUUUAUUUUUGAGAAGGUCCUAAAGCUGGAGAAUUGUAGUUAUUUGUGUUAUUCUCAGGGUUGAAAGUUUGAAAACCUUAGUUUCUUAGAGCUACAUUUUGGUUGGUGCAUCUUACUAAUGACUCGAUUGAUAUCAUAUGAUUUCCUUUAAUGGUUGUUCUGUGGGUUGUACAACACCUAAUGUAUGAGGGAUCCAUCUUUGUAGUAAAUUUGAAUCAACCAUUUAAUUUAUUACCUAUCAUAAAGACAGCCCUUUUUGUUUCAAAAGUAGAAUCUAAUUGUUUCACUCUGAAAUUUUUGAUUCAAAAUUUAAUUAAAUCAAAAUCACUUAAAUAAAAUAUUAUUCUCCAAAUCUAUUUGAAAAAUUACAAUAGUUUUCCCAAGAAAAGAAAAAGUCUUACAUCAUAUUUGAAAGUCAUUUAAAAUAAAAUUCUAGUGGAAAUUCUAAAUUGAUUACAUAUUCAUUUAUGUAAGCUUAAAAUGAGAUAUAAAUUCAUUUUUAAAAAAUAUAUAUUUAAAAAUAAAUGAAACGACAGAUUAUUUAAAAAAGAUUAAAGGGUUGGAAAUGUAAAUAAAAUAUUAGUCCAAUAAUGAUAAUUUUUUGAUAUUAUAUUCAAACUUAUCCUUCUUCCAUAAUCAAAUAAAUUACACGUAGAAGCAACAUCUAGCUUUGAAAAACUUCCUUUUGACACAAUCUAAUUGCGUAAUUUUCUUAAUCUUCUAUUUUUCUAUUAUUAUAAUUCUUUAAUAAUAGUUGAAAAGAAAAAUAAAUUAAUCAUUAUUGGUAUCCUUUGAUCAUGUGUUUCAUGUCAUAAAAAGAAAUUUCAGAUAUUAAAUAAGCUAUCAUUAAAACACAAGGCAAUUGUGGAUAUAAUAGUCUAACAUAUAAUAAUAGCAAAUCUAAUACAUAGUAAACAAUACAUCACAUAAUCACGCCAUUUCUAUCUAUUCUUAUCAUCCUAUCAUAGUCUAUCAUAUACUACUAUUUCUAUCCAUUCUUAUCAUCCUAAUUUUUAUGCUAUGCUAUGAUGUACAAUGAUGGAUCUUAAGUGUCACAAAUUUUUUAUAUCCGUAAGUGUACGAACUAACUUAAGUGCAGAUUAAUCUUAUGGAACAACCUUAGAUCAAACCAAUAACCUAUUAGUUAGCCAUAAUAGGUCUAAUGAUAUAUCAAUACUCAAGUAUAACCCAUACUACAUUACAUGAUUUCCUUUUUUCUUUAGGGUGAAAAUGAGGUUUUUUUCUUCCACAAAUAGGCUUAGGCUUGCUUGGGGUUGGCGCUAUGGAAAAACUACAGAUUCCAUCAACUCAUCAAGUAGGUGAGGGGUAAAAGCGAAACAACAAAAGGAAACGCAAGAGGAAGCAAAUUAGAGAACAUAACAAUGAUACCAAUAUGAAAUAAAAGUCAUCAUACCAAACAAUUUUUCUUUUUUCUUUUUAUAGCAUGAUCACAGCAGUAUUUCUACAUAAACAUGAUGAAGAAAUAAAGCAAGGAAGCCAAGCAUACUUUGUCUCAAGAAAAUGCAUUUGCAUCUGCCAACUCCUUUAGGAAUGCCACCACUUCAUCUGAUGAUCCGAGCAGAUACCGAGCAUUUGUUCGAGCUCUUCCAACAGCACAAGAGAAGUAGUUCUCAGCCUUGAGAUCAAGCACAUUCCAUUGAAUCUUCUCCGGUGAUGGUUUACGACCGUUUGCACAGUUAUGAUUUGAAGUUUUCUUCUCCGAGCUCGACCGACCCUUAUUGUGUGGCGAUUUUGACCCAUUCCUGUUUAGAGGAACUUUGAUGGAAGGUUUUCUCUCACCCGUUAAUUUAAGUCCAUCGGUUCCCUUGGCUCUUGGCAUGCCUAUAGUAUCCGAUGGAAGUUCUGGCUCGAAGAAAGUGUAGACAUCUUCAUCCUGAUGACACAAAUAAUUUGAAUUAGGACUAGUAAAGACGUAAGGCGUACCGUCAUGAACUGAUAAAUCCAAAAUACAAAUAAUCACAUUCUUCAAAACAUUUUUAAACGAACGAAUGAAUAAACAAAUAUAACCAUAAAUCAAACUUAUGGCUUGAUGAAUAAUUACAACAGGUACGGGUUCUAUAACGUGUUACUUGUAAGGAAGAAUUUUACCUUCCCAAGAAAAUGGCCUACACACAAGACAUAGUCUAUUGGAGUCGUCAUGGACUUGCUGUGAACUAUUUCUCCCAAUAUUCGGUCAAUUGCUGAUCCCUAUCCCAAAAAAGUAAAGAAAGAAAAGGAAGAUUAGAUAAGAAAAUUUUAUUAAGUAUAAUGAAAGGAAAAUCCAGGGAAGAAAACAAGACUGACCUUGGUAACGCCAACAGCUCGCACCUCAACAGAUCGGCUACCUUGAACAACAUCAACUGAUGCAUUAGAAAUUGGACCCGUCCAUAAAUGCUGUAGCAUAUCCCGUGCUUGAAGCCUUCCAAACUCAACAUCUACCUCAGAUGAUGAGACACAACAGUAAAGAAAAAGAGAUUAUAAUUCAUGUAAGCAUUUAUAGGAGAAGGCGGUUGGUCCGUGGAUCAAGUACCUGCAUAUUUAUAGUUCCAAACAAGUGAAGUUUCCCGGAGCUCAUAAUGGGAACGGGGAGUUCUCUCUGUGAAGUACUCAAACACAUGCUGUAGGAAAAAGAAAAAAAGAAAAAAAAAAGAAACCAAGAUUAGAAGCUGUGAAGAAUAUUUCAUUUCAUUAAUCGUUCUAAUUUAAGCACCUUCACACUGUCGACCCAUUCCAUAUUCAAAUGCUCAGGCAUUGUAGUCAUCCAGUCCCCCCUUGUGAAGCGUAGAAACAUUCCAUUUUCAGCAGCCAACCACAUGUCAUACUCCCCAAAGUUCUGUGAAAGCAUUGGUUUUAGUAGGUAAGGAGGAUAGAGGCGAAAAUAAAAAAGGAACAUGAAGCUAGAAGAAAUACAUCAUCCAAGACAGUUCUGUCACUCCCACUGAGAAUGACUACUGUCGUGUUUGGGUCAUUGCAAAUUGCUGUCAAUGGUUCUUUCAAAUCUGGGUGUAGUUUCAGAUCCAUUUCUCUAAUCUGAUCACCUCGUCUCUCAGGUGUGUCUACCGGUUCAGUUAAUGUUGAAUUGAACCCCUAAAUCAAGAGCACGUGAAUGAUGUAAGUUAAAUCAUACUAGAUUAAAGAUGUACGACAUUUUCACAUUGUUCAACCUAGACGCCUAAAAGGAUUUAGCAGAAAGCAGAAGAAUUAGUAUGCAAAGUUAUUGUGCAGCAACUGCAAAAUCUGAGCAGUGUCAUUUUCUCGAGUUAACUCCAAUUAUCUUCCUUCCAUGAUUUCACCUUUUUACAUUGAAAAUAUUGGUUAGAUGUGGCUCUUCCGAUCUCGAGUACAGAGUUUUGGUGAAGUUUUAGGAUGACAUGAAUUAAAAAAAUACCCGUUAAAGCAAAAACAACCCCAAUAUAAAAUUCCUAUGGUUUCUUAAAGCAGAUUUUCUGUCAUUGAUCUAGGUAGGCAUAUAUGAUAAGGAGUACGUAGCUAACCAGUAUAAGUAAUCUAUUAGUAGAUUGCUCAUAAUGUUUAAUUGCAUUAUCAAACGGAAGCGGGGGCGGACAUUGUCGAAUCCUCAGUUCAGCUUCAACGACUGUAUCGUUAAGUUCACUGCAAAGAAACAAAAAUUUUGUUAGCAUCAGCCAAUGUUUACUGUUUAGUUCUACCAUUAGUUUCAGACAUCUUGUAUGAACCUACACUACGAGUUAACAUCUUGGGUUAGUUAUUUGAAUUUACAUCGUAACCGGCAGAUAUACGUAAUUUUAGAUUGAGGGAGAACUCAUGAUUAAGGCGAUGACAUAUAACAUCUUUGUACAUGACAGUCCUGCCGAUUAGGUGAUUACUAUAAAUGACUACAAACUUCAAUAAAUCGUUAUAAACCUAAUACAAGAUUUUUAUUAGGUCUGAUUUAACCUUUUGUGCACAUAUGUUCAAUAAAUCCAAUUAAAAUAAAGCUUCCGAAUUAAAAAAAAUGAACAAUAAUUUAACAAAUACACAGAGAUAAAGGUCCUGCGCAGGAAGGUCCACAAAUUGAUACCUCACAAAAGUUUCUGCCCAUUCCUGAGCAGUGUGUGUAGUCACAUGGAGAAAAUUAUGCCUAUGGCGCUUUUCUCUUUCUUCAGCUUCCAUAUUUAAUGCUCGAUCAAUUGAUUUUGCAACUUCUGUUAUGUUCCAGGGGUUGACCAAAAGUGCUCCAGCACCCAGGGAUUGUGCAGCACCAGCAAACUACAAAAAGCUUGAAAAUUAGUAAAGAAAAGAACAAUUCAGAUAUGAAAAUUUAUAAUGUCAGAGCAGAGUGUAUUCAAUACCUAGGUCUGUUAUAAAGAAAAACACAUGCAAUUAUAUUGACCAUCAGUGGCUUUUAUUUCUCAUCUUAUUGAAUUUUUGUAAGAUAAUUUAAAGGAGAUAGUAUUCUAUGGUCAGAACGUCAUAUACAUACAUACAUAAAUAGGUAUACAAUUAUUGAAUCAUUAACAAAAAAGUAAUACAUAGAAAUAACGUUUAACUGAAUGAUGGAAAAGUUACAGACACACAAAGAUAUUUGUAAAUAGUUACAAAAAAAAAAACAGUGAUAAACGAAGAAAAGAAUACAGGUACAACAUAUUAAAAAAACUGUCCGUGUCCAGCUACAUAACAGUGAGACCAAGAAUGUAACCAGACUGCACCUUUAGUUAACUCUAUUCCAAACAAUAGUGAAAGUGCUUGACUUCAUGUAUAAGUAUAACUAUACUCGAUUGAGUUCCUUUAAAACCAAUCAUUCUCAAAAUAGAAGAUGAAGCAUCAACAUAAAAAGAAUAAAGUAUUUGCAUGAGGUAGAACCGCUUGAAUCAUAACAAUCAUUCUCAUAUAAAAAGAUGAUUAAAUAUUCGCGGCAGUUUAAUUUGAAGUUCACUUCAUUAGGCCUAUAUCUAAAGAAAUCUGAAUUUCAAGUACUAGAAUAACAUGAGUAUCCAUUCCUAGGUUAUCUUAAGUUUUUACUGGACUAGAACAUAAAACUCUCACUGGGAUUGGGAAAUAGAUUAAAAACAAGGGGAAAUCACAUACUCGGGGUGUAGUAUAAACAACAAUGACAGCAGAAAUAUUGACACUGGGAGUUUUUAGAAUUACCUCGCUAAGAAUUAGAACUCCUUUCUUUGCAUCCUGGCAAGCAACAAAUUCAUAACUGACGAGAUUCAUUCCAUCCCUCAAAGAUGUGACAAGUGCAACAUCUAAGGAGUGGCAAAUAACGAGUUAGUAAAUACUAAAUAAAAAACAUAGACAUUUAUCUGACAUCAUAUUAUGACAUCCAUUAAAGAUUUCAAUGUCAUAAUGCAGAUGAAAUGAAAGUUGGUGACCUAUUUACAAUGUAUCCCAAUAUUUUGGAAGCAAUUACAAUCAGAGGGAAAUUCAACUAACACACAAAUGGGAGAGAGAUGUGUGCCUAUGCAUCAAUGACCUAUCUCAAAUCAAUUUUAAGUUCAUUAUACAAACAUUAGUUUAUAUCCCAAGUGUCUUGUACGCUGCUUAUGCAUUAUGUGCAAUUUGAGGACAAGUACUUGACCUCCAAUAUUUACUAAUUACUAGUCUUAUAACACCCUACAAAGCUUCAAUUAUAUUAUAUGAACUUAUCAGAAAACUCAGGAUUAAAACCUAAACAAGUGGUCACUAACUCAAAAUGGGGUUAUUUGCGUUUCAAAUAUUCAAACAAUAUUUCAUAUUCUAAUCCAAUCACUUAAAGACUUGUCUAAACUGAACCCAAUCAGCAAACUUCACGAGUCAGUUAGGAUCUUGUAGUGAACUGUCUUUGAAUUAGGGUAUUCAACUAGCCGAAACUAAUUACAUAAUAAUAUCAUCAAGGCACCAAUGGGAUACAAAUACAUCAUAUACCAUCCAUAAUACUCAGAAGUUAGUGAAAAAAACCUACAGAUAUGAAACCUUAAGUGACAAUGGUGUCAAGAUAAAAAAAAAAAUUCUACGAAAUGUUCCAUGAUCAACAUUUGGCAGAUGGAGUGUGAAAAUUAAUACCUGUUACAGCAUAUAGUGCACACAGUGCAUGAAAAUCGAGGGAGCGAUCCUGCAGGAAAAUAAAAUACUUGUUUAAAGCUGUUGCAGUGUUUCUAUGUGUGAAGAAAUUUGAUUAUGGCCAGAAUAAUGAUUGUAAAACGACCAAACAUAUCAAAGAAAACAUCAGAAGGUUUCUAAGAUGCAAUCCAUGUACUGUGUACAGUCUCACAUCAAACAGUCGUGUUUGAAUACUUUGAAGAAAAAAGGAGUACCUAGAUUGAACAAGUGAUACUCACUUUCAUUGAUUGAUUUGGCAGUGAUUUUCAUUUACUUGAUCAUAGAACCAAGCUUUGAAAUGAGGCAGUGAUACAAGAUUUGAGAGAGCAUUAUAUUCCAUCACUAAUAUCUAACAAGCAAAGCUAUUAUGUAUCCAACCAUUUAUUCACGAUACCAUUGCUCAUAAACAAAUUGCAUUUCCACCAUUACUAAAAGAGAAGUUAAGAGCACAUAAAUAGGCUCACAUCUAAAAAUCUUACAUUCAAGAAAGGAAAUAAAGAAAUUGCGGACAAACCAGGUGAUGUAUAGGCACAGUAGUCAGUGUUCCAAAUCUCCCAUUAAUACGCCCAACUAUUUCAUGAACUUGGCUUGUAAGCUUUUGGUCUGUAUUGACACAGGAUACAACUUAUAAUUGAUAUCUAGAGAUGCUUAAAGAAAUAGACUAGAUCAGAAAACAUGUAAUAUUGAAAGAAAACAGUGCAACAAAAGUACAUAUAUGUUAUAUGUGUCAAUCCUAUACAAGCAUAUUGUUUACUUAUAUCUAAAUAAACUUACAGGAAUAUAUCUAGCAUAAGCUACCUAUCUAUGAUGUUCCGGAAACAUUCUUUUCUCAUUUUUAAGAAACCAACAUUGUUUGCAGCCAUAAACCAGCAGUGCUUAAUUAUGGCAAUGAAUGCCUUAUAAUUCAUGUAAUGGACGGUUGAAGUUAAUGGAUUGCAAUAGUCUAAAAACUCAAUUAGAAAUUGAAGCUGACAGUGAUUUCAGCUAUAGCUUCUACUGAAUAUACCAGCACUGCACAAACACAUUAAAAUAGAAAACGCUUAGAGAAAACAACCAUACAUUCUGGCACAUCUGUUCUUGUUGGCACUGCAAUUUGUAGCAAAACAACUUUAUCACGCCAAUAAGGGUUUUCCUCCAAGAAUUUUUCAAAUGCUAAUAUCUUUUGAGGUAUUCCUUUAAUCAUAUCAAGACGAUCAACCCCUAACAUUACCUGCAGCGCAUAAACAAUUGCAAGAAUAAGACGAAUCCUGCCCAGGAGAAAAAACCAGAGAACAUGGUGAAGUAUCUAAAAUAGAGUUAAAAAUCCAUACAUGGCUGCAUUGCUAUUAGUACAAGCAAGCCAGUUCAGAGAGUGAUGACAACAAACAGCAGGAAGAAGACUUCAUAACAAAUUAAAGUUUGAACUCAUUCAAUAUAAAAUGUCCACUGAAUUAACAGAAUAAUACUAAGUGAAUAUGCAAACAAAGACUAAGAUAUCUUUGUCUUUUUUCGUACUUUAUAGAAGGAAAAAGAUUGUAGAGAGGAAGAUUUUGAAUUCCUUGUCCAAAAUUUUAAAAUAUUGGUGAAAAGUUCAAGUUUUCUCUGUUUGAGGACCUUUUUUGUCAUCUAAUAUAUGAAAUUGAGAAAAAACAAUACUAUAUCAAUAUAGAAAAGACAAAGUAGGGAAAAAGAAAAACAUCUCAAAUGGGGCUGCAUAAAACAGUUUGUAAAAAACUUUAAAUGGAAUAUUAGGAGAAACAAUUACAUUAAACUGUAUCCUGAAAUCAAUUACUCAAUCUUAGAUUUUUCCUCUCAUUUAGUUUUGUAAAUUUGUAUAUAUUCCUUUUUUAGUGGAAACACACUGAAACUACUAAUCCGGACUUGGUCGCUAUAUUUUAUGCCACAAAUUAAUGCAGAAAUUCUAUUGUUGUUAUAUUUUUGUAUGACAAAUAACAACCACUGUGGAUUAAAACAACUGUAUACCUUUCGACCUUUGAAUCUUUCCUUUAACUCUUCAAUAUGUACUUGGACUUCAGGAAUCUUAAGGGCACGUAUGAAUCGUUCCGAGUCGAUACCAAUAGGAAACUGGAAAUUUAAAAAUUAAAAUUAAAAAGUUAAAAUGGUAAUUAAGAUUAACACCUAUGAAAAGGUGAAGUAAAGGGCUUCAUCAAUCCAAGAAUCACUAGGGAAAAAAUAACAGAAACAUACUGCAGCCACCCGCGUUAGCUUUCCUUGGUCCUCAACUCCUUCUGGUGUACCCUCAAGUCCAAGAAUACGAGUACAAGCACUUACGAAAUGACGCGCAUAAUCAUAUGUGUGAAAACUGCAAAAUUAUAGUCAUUUUGUAAAGGUCGCACAAAAAAGAACCAUUAGAUAGAACAUUCAGGUGUUCAAAAGUUAUCGUCCAAGUGUAAUUAAAUAAAAACAACUAUUAUGAAAGAUCAUGAUCGUUAUUCUUGUAAAAGGUUGGAGGAAACAAAACUUUCAUACUAUGCUCCUAUAUAUAAAGGUUCAGGAAGGCAAAUUCAGUACAAGAGCUCUAUAAUCAUCUACUCUGACCGUCUUUUUAUGCAGACAAAAACAAGCACACAAAGGUUCGAUCAGUAUGGCAGAGAAACCUACCCAACCAGAUCAGCAGCAAGUACUGAACGCAGAAGCUCUGAUCGGGAUGGAAGGGUUCUGUGGAUUUCAGAGGAGGGAAAAGGUGUAUGGAGAAACCAGCCGACUUUCAUCUUACGAUUAUGUUCCUUGAGACAUUUUGGAAGGAACAUAAGAUGAUAAUCAUGGCACCAAACGACAUCACCCUCCUCAUAGUGCUUGUUAACUACAUCCGCAAACAUUUGGUUUGCCUUCUUGUAUGCGGCAAACUGAGACUGAAAGCUACGGGUGGUGGCAAGACGAUCUUCUUGAGGAAGGCCAAGGUAAUGAAACAGAGGCCAUAAAAUGUUGUUACAAUAGCCAUUGUAGUAUUGAUGAACAAUCUCUUCAUCAAGGAAAACAGGGAUACACCUCUGCAUCCAAGUAACAAAAAUUCAGAAGUGGGUGGGGGGGUGUUACAAUGAAAACUGAUAACUGAAACACUAGAAUGCCAUCUCAAAAAAUUUCAAAAAACACUAACGAAUACACUUAGUACCUUUUCAGCCAAAGCUUCAGUCAGUGCCUUUUGUCCCACCUCAUCGGGUACGUUUACACCAGCCCAACCAAUCCAUCUCGCCUCAAAUUCCUUCACGCCUUUUAAUAAAUCCAUCGAGAAUGCAUUAUUUUCAUAAAUCAAAAUUAUGAAAAUCAAGAUAGAAAAAAACAAUUAUGAGAAAACAAGACAAUUAAAAUAAGGCCAUAAGAACCACUCACCCAGAAGUGCACUCACUAGGCCUCCAGCACUGAUCUCUAGAGACCAGGAAUCUUCACCCCUCCUAACUGCAGAGACGGGUAACCUAUUGGCCACAACCAGCAACCGUUGUCUGGGUGGCUUGCCAUCUUGCUUGUCACAUCCUUCGCCAAAGGUCCUUGAGGCUACAGAAGCUUCGGAAAAUUUACAGGGAAUUCCAACGGUUUCUUCUUCUUUCAAACGAUGGUCAUUUUCAAUUAGUUCAGACUCCUUACUGUAGUCAUUUACUUCGUUUGAGUAUGAAUCCUUAGAGCUUUUUCUUAGUUUUCUCUCUCGCAAGAGCCUUUCCAGUCGACCAGGUAUACGGUCUGAACUAUCGUUUGAAUUACCGUUAUACUUAUUCCCAGGCAUACGCUUACUUUAGAGCCUACCCCCUUCAAGUAUCAGUUCGAGAGCAAUUCAGCCUUUUGGAGCAAUCGCACAGUGCGUCCUACAAUUUAAUAAGCAAUAAGUUACCAUUUAAAAGUAGUAAUGCCACCCGACAAAGCCCUCCCAACUGCUAGCAAGUGGGAAGAUUUUAAGACGGCUCCCAACAAAAUUAAAAAUUGAGAGAAUAUUCAUAUAAUUUUUUUUAAGAAAAAUGGGGUCUACCACAGUAUUCAAGAUUUUAAACAUCCCUUGCAAGCAAUCUCCAACAACUAAAUUUUAACAUCAAAAUUCUUCUGAAAACUUAUGAUGUAAACAAUGCGAGAAGGAAUAGAAUAGAAAAGUGAACAGAUAAUCAUGGUGGCACGUUUUACGAAAAAUCAAACAAUAGGUACAAAAACAAAAUAAUCCCAGAAAAGAAGAGAAAGAGAUCAAACUCUUGAGCAGAGAGAGAAACUUUUUCAACAUAAAACGAUGGUCUCACCUAUUAUUGAUCCAAUAUUGACAACUAUUGAAAGCGGGGUUUCCAACAAGAAGUCAGAUAGAAAGUGGAGAGGAGAAUAAGUGACAACAAAGAGAAAAUCUCCAAAAUUUGUACGACCGAUAGCUAUCACACAGAGAAAAAGCAAGGAAACAACAUGAUCCUCGUGUAAGCUUUAUAGGAUACGUAAAGCUGUCCAGCCAUGCAAGUAAGGCAAAGGAAUUGUGUUGAAGCAGAGAAAGUAAAAAGAUCACUCUAAUGAUAAUAGCAUAAAAAAUCUACAUACCUAAAACACAAUUUAUUUUAAUUUUAAGUGACCACUAUCAUUUUCUGUUCAACAGUAAUUGUUUAGUUUCACUUUCAGUCAACCUUGGAUUCAUUUCAACCAAUAAUCGACGAAUCCGAAUCAAAGUAAUUUCCUUUUAGUUUGGCAAUAAUAUUCAAUAUAAGACAAACAAAAGUCUUGAAAAAGAUUUGAAAAUUAGCUCACUUGAAGGAGUACUGAUACCAAUAUAGAUAAAUAUCCAAACAAUCUCAAGUAUUCAAAAGAGGCACUUUUCCCAGGGAAAAGAAAAAACUUUUCUCAGGAAAGUGAAGGCGGUGAGCUUUGAGUAAUCUGGAGAGCAAAAAAAAGGAAAAAAAACAUCAAAUUUACUGUGCAGAAUGCAAAACUGAAAUGAUACGCCCAGAUUCUUACACUAUUAUAUCCGUACCGAAAAGGGUCAAUGAACAGUCAAACAAUGUCAUCGGUGUAUGAAUGAAACAGUAUCGUGGUAAAAUUUAAGGACUGAAAUACGAAUGUCAUCUGAACUCUUCACUUACUGACAAAGAUGAAACUAUCACCACACACUUGGGCAACAUGCAUGGCGCAACAACACUAUAUUAUUGUCGUUACUCUCAACAAUUCGACUCAAAUUGGCAAAAUAGUUAGACUUCCACAACAAAACCGAGGAUUUUUAGGUUAUUGCAACACGAGACACUGAUAGUUACAUAUAAAUUAUACUACAACUUUAUCUGUUGCUUUAGAAUUACGAUUUCUACGAAACAUAUUGAUAGGAGAAAAAUUUAUAACAUGACAAAUUAAGAUCGAAGAAAUUAAUAAAGUAUAUAAUAAUCUUAGUCUCAAGUGAACGGGCCAAGUACUUUUCAUUUAUCAUAAACUUUGCUCUUCUCAAAAGGACCUUGUCUAGAUUUUAGAUACAACUUCUAGUAAAAUUUAAUUUAAUUUUCAUUUUCAUUUAAAAUUAAAAUACAUAUAACAAAAUUGUUUCAAAUUGCAUGAUUUGUUGAGUAUUUACUAUAAUAAUAAAUUUUUACUUCCUAUUAGUGAUCAACUAAAUUAUAUCAUGAUCAACUAAAUUAUAUUGAUAUGUUUAUAUAAGACUAUAAUUGAUAGGUGUCUAUCUAGGUCAUCAAGUUUAUUGUCAAUAGACUAAAAAUGUAAAUAUUUGCAAUAGUUUUAAAAUAAACAAUCUAAUAUUUGUUUGUAUGAAAUAGAGGUAUUCAAAUAAGUCGACAACUCAAACUAUCUGGACUAUCCAACCCAAAAUGUAACAUAUAGAUAUAUUUGAGUUAAUUUUUUUUGUCCUAAUUGGAUUGAAUUAUGGGUUGAUUGUAAAGAAAUUUGGAUUGACCCAAUCCAUCUCAACCCAAUCGAGUCCAAUCCAUAUUAUAUAUUUCAUAUAAAAAUACGUUUAAAGUUUGACUAUUUUUUAUUGUUUAAUCGAUAAAUUUGUGAAUUUUAAACAUUUUUCUUUUUAAGAUUGUUAUGAUUGUUUAUUAUUAAAGUUCGUAUUAAAUAUUAUAGAUAUUUUAUAUUUAAAUUUAAUGAAAUUUUAGAUAUUAAUAAUGUGGUAGGAUAAAGUUACCUAUUUUAAAUUUUAAAGAAAAAUCUCUAACCGAACGAAAUGUUAAGGGUUGGGUUAGAGAUUUUAAUUGAAUCCUACUAACGGGAACAUUUUAGUGAAGAUUUUAUUUAGUUCUUUUGGUUUUCAAUCCAGCUAACAGCUGACCCAUGUACACCCUAGUACAAAAGAACACCUGAACUAAAAUUUAACUAUUAAAACUUUAGCAUCAUCUGCAAAACCAACCACUUGAAAAGUUACUGCUACUCGGAAUUUUGAUGUUAUUAAGUCCACAGAGAGCUCCUUCUUUUUUUCUUUCCCAAAAACAAUCCUAUUUUCUUCGAUAUGCGGCCCAUAAUCGCAUGUCAAUCUUGACUGCCUAUACCACUUUAGGCAGCUAAUUCGAUAGGAUUAGGAGCCAGAAUAAUUAAAUCUAAUAAAUUCACUGUCGGCACAGGAAAACAAAGUUAAAAGAACAUUUUGAACAAUGCAAAACCCACCAAAUUUUGAUGGUUUUUCAAAUCUAUCAAAAAUGCGUAUAAACGUGCUUUAAUCAAUUCAGUCAAUGUUACUGUACUAGUUCAAGAAACACAACGCACAAACAUUGCCACCCAAAAAGUAAACUGCAUGACCCACGUUGCAUGUACAAAACUGCUUACAUUUUUUAUUGGAUGGCAUGACGAAUGACCCAUGGUGCAAAUAGAAUGGCUAGUGCCAUUCAAAAAGGAAUCCACAAGUCAACAACGUAAAAACAGAGAGUGAGAUGUUACCACUCGAGUCCACCCCUGUGUAGGACUGUUUCUUCUAAUUCAUUUUAUACUUCUCUCUUUAAUUUUUCAAAAUAUACAAUUGCAAGUUAAAUAUAAAUAAAACAAUUAGAAAUAAUAAUGCAAGUCUAGUUAUUGUUCCUCAUCAUAGAAAAAAACUUCAGUUAAAUUUUUUAGAAUUACGAAAAUAACGAUUCAAGGUGUAUUGAAUUUUUUGAAUAUUUAUAAAUAUUUUUUUACAUCUAUAAACAUUUUUAAACAGUUAGAAAGUGACAUUAGUAGAAUAAAAUAGAACAUUAUUCUCAUUUGUGAGAAAAGAAAGUAACUACCCUUGCCCUUUCACCCACUUUCAAAGCAAUUGAAGUAAAAGCAAAACAACAACAAAGUAAGAAGUUUUAAUCAAAAGAACACUUUGCUCAUGGGAGUAGACCACAGCAUAGUUGAGGAGCUUUUGAAAUGAAAUGCAUGAAAAGUUAUUGAAAAUUUGGCUUCGACAAAAACAGUUAAUUCGAAGCACCGAAUAAAAAAGAUGGUCGUCUGAAUCGAGUCAAUCAAGUUAUUUUGAAUAAAAUCAAAACACAACACUGAAAGGAAAUGAUGUGCAGCCUCUAAUUAGACUUAAAUAGCAUGUUUAGUUAAGCAACAAACAACUGUUGGCACCUUUAGAAAAGUGUAUUUAUUUAAAAACAUGUGGGGUAUAACACUGUCAUAUUUGGCCCAAGUGUUGUGAUAAUAAUUCCACUCACUGUUUAGUAGUGAAUAUGUUAUGAAAUUGGAAAAAAAAAAAAAAAAAAAAAAAAAAAACCUAGAGAACACAAGGCAGAAGAAAAUCAAUACAAAGUUAUUUAUCUGAUUAUUAACUGAUAGUGUAUUAGCAAUGUUCAGAGACAUAGAAAGAACAAUGAUUAUUUGAGAAGAACUAUGUUCAUUAAUAGCAAAGAUUCAUUAUUGGUGAUCCUUGAUCCUCUCCAAAGAACAAUUAACAAAUUCAAGAUAUUACAAUAAAAAAAAAUUGUAAACCCAUGGCUAGUCAUAUAUUGACAAACAACUCUUCAUAUUCAACAGUUUUUUGAAGUAAAAAACUCAACUCCUUAUGAAAAGAUUUUAAAUAUUUUAGGUUCUCAAAAGUUUGAUGGUUAUAUGUCAUCUCUCUCUAAUUAAGAUACUGAUGACAAGGAACAUGUCUCUGGCAACAUGUUUUGGCAAAAAGUUUAAAUUCAUACACAUUCUAUUUCUUUGUUUAGAUUCAAUACUGAUAUGUUAUGAAUAAAUAAUUAUGACAUCGAAUCAAUACUUGCAACAAAUUAAAAACCGAGCACAUUGCAAUGUCUUUCCUCCUUAAAAAUGAUAAACACUAACCUAUGCAGAUGUCCAUGCAUUUCCAGUUGCAUGCCUUAUAAAAAAUGAUACUGAAGCACAAAAGACGAUGGGGAGACAUGGGGGAACUGUUCAGAGGUUGGAAAAUCAAACAGCAAUCUUCAUUAUUACACUUAAUUCUUGCUAAAUGUUUGAACAUUUUUGUUAAAGUGUGAGGUAUAAUUAAAAUUUACCUAUCACCCAAAAGCUUGCUUAUGGGUAUUUGAUGAUUUGACAUGUGUUCAAACCGUUGUUGUGAUGUCAUUUUCUUUAUACUCAAUAUUGAUUUCCACUUACUAAAAUUUACCAAAAUUCAUGAACUUAAAGUUUUUAGGUUGGUAAGUAAAAUUUUUUUGUUGAAGUAUAAUCCCUUAGAAUGUUGGGAAAAAUCAACACGGCGGUAACCCAAAAUGCAUGAUUAUAAUUAGUACGUUCCUUCAAUUAAGCCUUAAAUCCAUGACAUACAACACACAUAUCAGGUCUUGUCCAAUAUUUUAAAGAUUUUUCUAUUUCAAUUAUAAUUUUAAAAACUUUUAUAUAAAAUUAAUGGUAAUAUUACAACUAUAUUACAACUAUUGAAGAAUAAAUUGAAUCUUGCAACAUUAUUCUUUGUUUACAAAAUGUUCAUAUUCCUUUUCAAUCACGGUUGCAAUAUCAUCUCUAAGCUCUUAUAAAUGUUUUUAAAAUAAUUAUGGGGUAAAAAUUUGUUAAAUAUUUUGGAUAAAAAGAUGAGAAAAAGAAUAAAAUGUGAGGAUGUGUCCUUAUUUCUAAUCCAAGUCCUUGUCACAUCAUUUUGGGUCCUAAUAUAGGUCAAGACAUUUUAACAAUAUUUAAAUCCAAUCUAGCUAAAAAUAAGUAUGAAAAAAUAAAACAAAAGUCAAGAAUAUAUUUCAAGAAUAUAUUUCAAGAAUAUAUUUCAAACAAAUUCUACUUUUUCUGAUUUAGCUUGAGAGAAAGAAGUACUAAUCUCGGUGGAUUAAUGGAAUUGCGGUAUUAAACCCGUCGCAUCUUCUAAUGCAAAUAAACAUCAGAGUAUCUUCAAAAUAUCUAUUUAAAAGAAAAUGAAGCAUAUGGUCCUUCCUUAGACCUUUUCAAAAGGAUGGCACGUGACUAAAAUUGACAAUUGGCCUAAGGAAUGCUUCAAAGACAGAAGUUGACUGAACAGACUGGCUUGCAGCCUUGUUUUCUAUGGUAAAUGAAGGCAAGUGGAGUAGAAUUAUUGCUAUUGUCAGUGGGUAUGGGAAUCUAAUAGUAGGAGAGCCCGUGAAAUACAUACCGUAGUGAGAGAAUUUGAAGGAACCAUAAUUUCGUCAUCCAUGAAAAGAAUUUGCGAGGGUCCCAAAAUAAAAGAUAUUCUGACUUUUGUCCUUUGGCCAACUUCACACCCAUUUAGUCUGGUAAUAUUCCUUGGACGGGCAGUUAAAUCUUCUUCGGGGUGGAUGGCAGGUGGCCUUUCAGAUCACACCAGACUGAAAUUUUUUAAAACAUGACAAUCCGUUUCUGGGCAGCUAUGUAGUCAAACCCAAAAGAGCACAGAACUACUAGGACAGUACCUUGCCUAGAGAGUUAGGCUAGUGUAUAAAGAAAAUUACAAAGAAAGUGCUUUAAAAAAUGUCAGUCUCUAGUACUGUUCAGUAAGAGAUCUCAAAUAUCACUUUACAAAUGAAAGAUUCUCAAUUUCCUGCAGCUUUUAACGUUUUUCUUCCCUCAGAAAGAAGUGCUGGAAUGGGCUACAUGUAGAGUCUAAUCUCGAGCUCCUUUUGACAACAUAUGGAAGGUUUUGAUUCGGAAAAUAAAGCCUCGAAUUUCCAAAUACUGGAGGCUUACAAAGAGAAAGAGGAACUCAUAUCCAAUAUUUUCUCCACCAAAAAUUUGAAAAUUAUUCAACGUGGCCCCUGGCCCCACGUUGCAAAAUUUUGCCCAAACCAUACGUAACGCGAGUAUAAUAACUAAUUAGCCGGAAAAAACGCCAUAUUUUCUCUAUUUCUUGAACUUUUAAGUUAUGACCACGAACCUGGUGUUAAGGAAAUUUUUUGAAAAUAAAUUAUGACGAUCCAAUGGGAUUUGUGCUUCUGUAGCAAUCCAACUGACCCACUUGGCCGAAUACAUAAUUUCUGAAUAAAUCUUUUGACACUGUCUUCUCACGCUAACCAAAACGAUAUUUUUCGAGAGUUGUAUCACAUCUUGACGAAAACGGAUAAUUCCUUGGGGAUUUCCAAAACAGAGUCUCUCAAGAUCCCCAUGUUUUUUUUCUCAAUCAAUGUAAUAAUUACUUUAUUUGAUUUCCUUGAUAGUGGUGAAACAGGAUACUCGGUAACCCGUUUUUUUUUAAAUCUUUUUUUAACGGGUCUCGUCAUUUAUUACGAUACGUUAUACAGUAUACAUCCGGAAACAAGAUUCUUCUAGACCAUUAUACUCCAACCUUUUCUUCUUUGUUUCCCGGUUUUCAAGCAAACUAAUAGAAACAAAUUUUCAACUAUUCAAUUCUUUUUCUAUAAGAGAGAACAAAAUCAAAGCCAAAUUCAAUUUGGAUUCAUUGAAUAAAGGUGAGGUAUAAUCCUGAAGAAGUCUGACCCGAAUUACCAAAUUUUCCAGACUAAUAGAACUCCUCAUGUUAUGCUAAUGAUUUUUCAAGAAAUGAACAAAAGGCGGGAACGGUAUUAGGCUCAGAAAAAAUGGCGGGAAAAAACUUAAUUUCGAUUCAACCAAUCAUAUCCGAGGAGGAAAUAGAGAAUUAGCUCGAGCGAUUGCAUCCCCAAGCUCAGAAGGAAGACGACGAUUCAUUAGACGCUGAAAAUAACUAAACAGAACAAAACGAUUCCAAAAGCCAAGAUUACACGAAAAGCAAAUGCCGUCGAGUAUAAAGAAAACACAAAAAGAUAGAUUCGCCGUCAGAAAAAAAAAGUGUAUAUAUAUACAUAUACACACGCACACACACACAUAUAUAUCAGCGCGUUUCCUUUAUUGUUCUUUACUUUUCUUCAAAACCAAAGAUCUAUACUACACAACAAUACCUACUAACUACAAAAUCAGUCAAAACAGCAUACAGAUAUACAGAAUACAGUACUCUCGGAGUAGUAAUAGAACCAGCGGAACAAAAAAUCAUUCUAAGAACCAAAGAACAACAACAGAUACAGCGAAAACGUCGCAUGCAAAGACGCACAUACACAUUCAUGAUUGAAAGUACAAAAACAAAACGCAUAAAAUAAGAAGUACAGGUUCAGAAACGACGACUAACCUGAAGGCGUAUGAACAAGUAAGGCAGAGCUUAUUGAAGGCGAAUUCGAGAGAGUAAGAAGAAGAAGAGGAGGAAAUGGAGGGGAUGAAAAUGAAAUUGGAGAGAGAGAGAGAGAGAGAGUAAAUGGGAAUGUGCGUUAGAGAGAGAGAAUUUGGUUCCGUCAGCGUUUUGGGGGUGUGUGUGAGUGAGUGUGUCCGUUGGGCUGGUGGGAAAGGCAAGGAUCAGCUUUGAUGGCGUCCAAUCAUAUGGAGGGAAUUUGUUCUACCUUUUUUUUUUAUUUUUUUUUUCCUUCUUUAUUUAUGUUUUUCUUUUCUUUUCUUUUUGGUGGAAAUGCUUAUGAGUUGUGUGCAAACGAAGCAUAAACUUUUUGAAAAAUUAUAACAAAUAAUAUAAUUACAAACUAUUAAAAAAAAAAGAGUUAAAUUACACGUUUAGUUUUUUAUAUGAGGUUGAGUUUAAUUAUUUAUUUAGCCUUUUUAUACUUUUCAAACCAAGGUAUAAGUAUGGAGGUUUUCAUUUGUGACAUUUUAUUUUAAUUUUAUGUUUCGUGGUUUUUUUUCUAAGAGUCGUAUGGAAAUAUCGAUUUACCACUAAUGUUGAUAUUGAAUUCAUAGAAUUUAGGAGUGUAAGAAUAUGAGUUGAAUCUGAAUAACUUGAACUACCCAAUUCAUAUAAAUUUUAUGUUUUGAAUUGGGUUGAGUUUGGUUUAAAAGUUUGAUUUUUUCGGGUUGGGUUAGGUAUUGAGUUGGAUGGUUGAAAAUUUUGGUUCAACCCAAACACAACCUAAUUAAUAUAAUAUAAUAUAUAUUAUCUAAUAAUAAACAAAUUAGGUAUAUGAACUUUGAAUGAAAUUUUGAAUUAUAUAUAUUUGAAAUUUAAUUAAAUGUAACAAUUUUUUAAAAAAAUUAUAACCAUUAGAAACUAGAAAUGAGAAAAAAAAACUAUACACAACUCAAUCCAACCCAAUCUAUAUUUGACUGGUUGGAUUGGGUUGGAUUAGAAACUAAAUUCAGGUUAUUUAGAUUGUCAACCCAAAUAACCCAAAAAUAUGGGUUGGGUUGAAAAUGUCUCUCAACCCAACCCGAUUUCAUCCCUAAUAGAAACGUGAAAAUGUAGAUGAAAAUACGAAUGUGUCAAUAAAAAUUUAAUAUUGUGUUCUAAAAGUAUUAUUCAAUAGAUAUAUAUGGUAUUAAAAUUUAUUCGAUGUAUCGAGACAUUUUCCAUGGAUCUAAUAUUGACACGAGAAGUAAAUCGAGGGAGAGAAAUUUACAAAACAUAAAUAAUAAGGAACAAAAUGUCACUAGCAUGAAAGUGAUAUGAAUAAUUGACUUUUUUUACUUUUUAUAAAAUUCAAGAUAUACAUGUGUGUGUAUGUAUUUGUGUUAGUUUAUGUAUUUUCUAAAAUUUUAUUCAUUUACACCCACUUAUUAAAUUCAAAAUUUUGUGUUUAGUAUAUCCAUUAAUAUAAAAGACAGAAAAAAAAUCAAGAGCUAAACUUGUAACAACUUCCAAAUUUAAUAAAACAAUACUAAUUAACAAUUUGAGAAGUAUAAAGAGCUGCUAAGAAUGAGUUAAUCUAGUUAAUAUGUUAGGGUGACGUCCUAAUCUUUCAACCCCUUUAACUUUUGUUCAAAAAAUAAAAUAAUAUAUAGGAAAUAAGCUAUUAAGAAAAACUAUAUAUAAAUAGAUAAGAGAGAGAAAAGACAACUAAAAGAGGAGUUCGAAAAAAAUAUUAAAUAUUGAAAAAAAAUGUUAUUUUCAAAUAUAUCUAAAUAAAUCAAAAUAUAGCAAUAAAUAUUAGAGUUUGUCUAUGAUGGACGAUAAUAAACUAAGAUAGACUACGUGUCUAUAUGUAACAUGAUAAACACAUAUAAUAAUCUAUCUUGAUAAAUAUCACGUAUAGAUAGUGAUAUUUUGCUUAAUUUUAAAAUAUUUUCAUAAGUUUUGUGGUUUAAAAUAAAAAUUUUAAAAAAUCAUGUGAACUUAUUUUUAAGCUUCUCGCUUUUCAUACUUUUAUUUUCUGAAAAUACAUAACUUGUGAAAAGAUGUGAUGAGAAUGUUAUACAUAUUACAAUCUAGCCAGUUCUCGUAUUUUGAUAAGAAAAUCUAACUUUAUAUCCCUGACCAUAAUUUGUCAUAUAAUAAAAUUACUUUAUAUUCCUAACCAUGAUUUGUCAUAUAAUAAAAUUUUAAUUUAAUUAAAUAUCUUAAUUUUUUAAAACUUAUGUGAUGAUAUAAUUAAAUGUGUAUCUUAAUAUGUUGUAGAAUAUUGAUCAACAAAAUUAAAAUGAAGAGAAGAAUAAAAUAUUAAAAUUAAAAAAUAUUUAAGAAAGGGAAAGUUUUUUAGUUUUGUAUUUUUUUACAUAGAAUAGUUAAAAUAUAAAAAUAAAUAGAUAAAUGUGAUAUAGAUGAGAGUGAAAAUUAGAAAUUUUGAAGGAUUAGAUGUGCUAAUAAAAUGAAUCAAAAUAUUUAUAAAUUAGCUUUUAGAAAUUUUAUUAUAUUUUUAAUUAUCUUUUAAUAAUUUUAUUUUAAUUUAUUUAUAUUUUUAAUUAUCUUUUAAUAAUUUUAUUUUAAUUUAUUUAUAUAAUAAAAAUUUAAGGAAUUUUUCUUCUAACAUUUCGAAAACAAAAUUUCCAAAAUCACACUUUUAGAUGUCAUUCAUUUAUUAAAUAUAUUUAGUUUAGUUUUUUUUUCUUUUUGUGUACAUGAUCAAUUCUCUUAAAUAUUCAACAAAAAUUAAGAAACUUUCCUCCAUCCACUAUUUGAAUGAAUAAGUCAACUUUAUAGUAAAUAUGAUUAAUCCUCAAUUUAGAAUUAUGCUACAUUAAGUUUUAUAUAUUCUUAAGAAUUAUAUUGUCCUUUUUAUUUUGUUGGAUUGUUGCCAAACAAUUCAUAUUCUUACACCUUACAAAAUGACAUGUGAUUAAAAUUACAAUUCCAAUUACAAUCUCAAGUAAAAAGUCUUUCCUACUAAUAUUCUUAGAUUCUAAUAUUUUGUAGUCUUCACGAAUAUGUUAAUUUGUUUGAUAUUUAGUGCAAAAAAAAGUUAACCUUAAUAUGAUGGUAAAAAAAUUAAAUUUAAUUGUACAAAGUAGUUUCUUUCGUUAGAAACUUCAAACUAAAUGUUGUUUUAUUCAUAUACAAAUUUAACACGUAUGCAAGUUCAAUUUAUUUUUGUUUUUGUUUUUUUUUUCAAUUUGAAUGAGUUACGAAAUUAUCAUUAAUCUGCUUAUAAAUUCAUGUGGAGUGAAUAAUCAUUUUCAAGACAACGCUUAUCAUAUUUUAAAAAAAUGUAUUUGUUUUCAAUUGAAUUGUAAUCAACUUAAUAGUGAUCUCCGUUCAUGUAAUUUUCAAACUUUUUCCGCCAUCGUUUCGUUUCUAAAAUUUUAAAAUAUAUGUUGAAAAUAUAAAUAAAUUAUGUGAUUUUGGGUGAUGAAAAUAUUUUUUAGAAAUUAUAUUUACAUUGUCUUAAAUUAAUUUUCCAAUUCAAGUAUCAGCAAAAGUAAAAAGUUACAAUUAACAGCUCGAUGACUUAAGCUUUUCAUUUUGAAAAUUCACUAACCAAAAAUAAUUUUUACUUUUACCAAGUGUUAAUUAAGAGAAAACAAACUAAAAAUAUAAUAUAUAUAUAAUUUCAUUUCUUAUUUUAAUACAUUGUUAGAUUAAUAUAUGUAUAUAUAUAUAUAUAUAUAUAUUCCUCCACUUCAUUCUCUUUUUGUAACAAAAGUGGACAAAAGUUAUUAAAUUAAACUAAAACUUUUAUGAAAUAAGCAUCCUCCCUUUUAUGAAUUAAGCUAUAAAGAUGAAGUAAUAAAAUAUUGAUAUAGUCCUUAUGAGCCAUUAAUUGGUCUUACUUUGGUUUUUGACCUAAGAUUUAAUGGUCCCAAAAGGGCAACAAAAUUUCAACUUUAUGCCUUAUUUAUAUUCUUUUCUUUAAUAAUGUCACGUGACACUCUUGCACUCUAUACCCCUAAAACUUUACUAUAUAGUUUUUAUUUUUCCUAACUUUUAUGCAUAGUUAUUAAUUCUUUUUGGUUGUUGCCUUUACACAAAGCAUCCCACUACUACUCUUUUUUAGACCACCAUCUUUCUACACACAUAUAUCAAAAUGAGAUUCCACUUAAAAUAAUGAAGCAAUUUUAGGUUUGUAUGGUAUGAAACUAUUUUUAGGCAUAAAAAAUAACCCCAUUUUUGGUUAAUUAAUUCAAUUUAGGUUUAGUUUUUUUUUUAAACAAAUGUGAAAAACUUAACCUCAAGAAUCAAAAGUUAUUUUAGUUUAAUUUCAAAAUUAAUCGAGAAAGGUCAACUAUCUUAAAAACAAUAUAAAUAUUUUAACUUUUUUUUGGUAUAGAACAAAUUUGUUGAUGAUAAGGAAAAAAAAUAUACUAUUUAACAAUAAAUAUAUAUUCAUUACACGAAAACAAAAACGUGUAGAUAGUUUUUAUUUAUUAUGUUUCUCUAAUAAAAUUUUCAACUUUAUAUUUUUAUGCAUUAAUUUUGUUCUUUUAAUAAAGUCUUUGUUAUAAUAAAAAAAAAAUGGGACCAACUUUUUUAAAAGAAAAAAAUAAUGCUGACAUUGAUGAGACAAUAAUGUAAUUAAUAUUUGCGACAACAAUAGUUCUCAACAAUUUACAAUAAUAUUAUACAUAUAUAUGGAGAGAAAUUGUAAAAAAAUCAAAGACAAAAUAUUUACUUAAUAAUUUUUUUAAUAAAGUGUAAAUGUUUUUUUUCCUAUUUUAAAAAGAAUUUCUAUUAUAUUUUAUACACCAUUAUUCAUUUUUACUAAGAUUAGAUAACUUAUGAGCGUGAGUAGCACGCAAAGUAUAAUUCAACGGACACGAAGUAUUUAUUCGUAUCAAUUUUUUAAAAAAAGAUUGUAUGGUUCCAUUCAACCAUUUGUAAAAAUAGGAAUAAAAACUAUUUGGGUUUGGAAUGAUUUAGUCAUUAUUAUUUUUAAUUUUAAGUAGAAAAUUUACCUUAGGUAAACAAGUCAAAACUUUUAUUAGGUUAAUAAACAAUUUUCCUACUCCAAACAUUUUUUAAGAAAAAUCUAUUUAGCUCCAUAACCUCAAAAGAAUUUUCUUGUACGUACUAAAAAGAAUAUUUAUUUAACAUUUCUUUUUCUACCUCACUCUUAGUCACACGCUAACGAUUAUAUUAAAAAUAAUGUAGAGUCUAUUAACAAUCAUAAUAGAAAGAAUCAUAAACAGAUGCAUUAUAAGAAAAAUCAUCAAACACGCGUCGUAUUUAUUUUUAAAGUUGAGUUGUUUUUAAAUAUAUCAAAAUAAACCAAAAUAGUUACGAACAUAACAAAAUAUCAUCGAUAAAUAAAUAUCGAUAGAAAUUAAUAGAUAUUUAUGAUAGACCUAAAAUUUUGGUGUAUUUUUUUAAUAUUUUUGUGAUUUAAAAUAAAUUUUCUUUGAAAUGUCAAUCCUCCAUCUUUUUUAAAGAUAAUUUAAAUUAUGAGGUCAUAAAUGGUGGCGUCGUUUUAUGUUGUUAUUAGGUAUCGUUUUUGUGAUUGUGCCCAUACCAUUAUUCGUUGUUUUCUCAUAUGCAAUAUUCUGCUCCCUCAUCUCUCUCUUUUUGUACGCCGUUCGUAUUUUUAAAGCCCCCGUUUCAUCAUCUAACGUAUGUAAUCUUCUCUUUCUUUUUCUAUUAUAUUCUCUUCUUUUAUUAUUAUUAUUUUUGAAAUUACCAAUCAUUCUAUUUUUGUUGUAUUCUCUACACAUUUUUGGAUAAGUUUACAAUGUACUAUUAUAUCAACUUGUAUAUUUUCUGAAAUAAAAAAUUAAUACACUUUUGUAGUUUUCUUCAUUUUCCUAACAGUUUAAUAAUAAUAGGUUUUAGUUCUUUUUUUAAAUGGUUUGAUAAAAUAAUCAUAAUGAAUUUGAUUGGAUUGAUUUUUUAAUGCAUAAAAACAUUUCUAAGCUUGAAUCUAUUCUACUACCAAAUUUGAGUAUCAACAAAUUUGGAAGACGUUUGACGUAAGAAGUAGAUUAUUAUAUAAUAUUUAGUUAUUAUAUAGUUAGAUUAUAAUAGUUUGUGUUGGAAUUAUAAUAGUAUGUGUUUGAGGUGUAGACUAAUUUAUUUUGAUGAAAAAAAUAGUAAAACUACGACAAAUAACAAACAUGACAGCAAAUGUGGAAUUUUGAAAUAAUGUUUACGAUAGAUUUUUAAAUAGUAUUUGAUGUGACAAUAUGUGAUUUAUUGUAGUCUUAUAUAGCCUUUGUCCCAAACCGCCAUUUAGGAUCCAAUUAGAUAGACUUUUCUAAUGCAUAGAAAUAUUUUUCACUUGGAAAUAUAUUUUAAAUACAAAGAAAGUCAAUCCAUACAUAUUUUUAUUAUAUAUACAUUUUUUUCCUAUCUUGUUUACGUGUGAUGUAUUCUAAUUGCCUCAUUAUGAAAGUACAUUAAUCAAAAUCGUAUCUUAACCUAAAAUUAAAAAUAUUUUAAGAGAAAAAUAACCUGUCUAGUUUCUACUUAGACUUUAAAUUUUAAAAUGUAUACAUUUAGUCGUUUAAGUUCUUAGUUUGAUUUUGAUUUAGUCCAUACAUUUCAAAAUAUUACAAUUCUACUACUGACAUUUCAAUUAUUUUCAAUUUGGUUUCUAAAUUUCAUGUACACAUUUUAAAUUUCAAUUGUUUACUGAAUACUUAUUUUCGGUGUUGAGUGUUAGUGUAUUAGUGUAUGUUAAUAAAUUUAAAAUAAUUAAACGAAAUACAAUUAAUUAAAUUUCACUAUAUCUCCUCACCUUUCAAACAAAAUUUAAAAUCUCACUUCAUAAUUACUUAAAAUUAAUUAAGAAAAAAAAACAUCCACAUAAUAUAUGUAAUAGGUGAGUGUUUAAUAAAAAAAAUUAAAAUUUAAAACGUAAAAUAUUAAAUUAUAGAAAUCAAAUUGAAAUAAAAAAGCGUAAAGAAAAUAUUUUCUUCGAUAUUCUAAAAACAAGAGAAAAAGGAAACUAGAGAUGAGAGUGUAGAGUAGCAGUGUGUUGAGACUAGUGGAAAGUAGAAAGCAACGAUAAGAAUUCAUGCACGUACCAAUUUCUUUUAUAUAUAAUAAAUAAAUAAAUAAUAUUUUUGGGAAUUUGGAUUUGUGUCCGUACGAAAAAAGAUUUCAUGGAAUUGAUGUGUACCUUUACCAUUCUGCCCCUCCAUCAUUAUUCAUUACUUUACCUUGACAAAGAAACCAACCAUAGACUUACAAUUAAUUCCACACAUUAUCCUAUCUUUACCCACAACUCUUUUUGCCAUCUCUCCACCAUAUUUCCCUAACCCUCAAACUUUUAAUUACCCCUUUUUUUAUUAACUUAAUUAAUUUUACUAUUUUAUUUAUUGGUUGUGUCAGUUUGAUUUUAAUUACAUUCAUAUAGUCAACUCCAAAAGUUUAUACUAAAUUACAGUUAAAACAUUAAUUUUCUAUAAUAUUUACUAUUAGAAUAUUUUAUACUAUUUUACAAUUAUCAAACUAAAAUAAUUUAUAUUUCAAAUAUAUACGGUUGUAAUCUAAAUUAAAAUAAUCUAUAAUUGAAAGGCAUGUUAUUAUAAUCCAACUAUAAUAAUCAACUAAUUUUAUUAUUCUAAACGCCUCAAAUUAUAAAUUAGGAUUAAAUUGAUUAUAUAUAUAACAUAUUAAUUAAAUCAAAAUCAUAACGAGGCAACGAAAAGAUUUAUCAUUAAAGCACUUUUUUAAUAAAGCAAUGCUUUCAUUUUUUUUAAAAUUUUAUAAAACUUUAAAAUACACUCGUGGAGGCAAAAAAGAAGACCCUUUUUUUAUGCUUUUAGAGAAGUCUAGACAUGAGUGCAAUUCAAAUUGGGUGUAGAUUACGUUUAUAAUUUUAUAAUGGAGUUUGCCCUUUUAGAUGAGUUUUUUGAUAUUUCAAAUAUUUUAAAUAUUUCAAUUUUAUUCCAUCAUCAAUCACAAAUGUAAUUGAAUUGCUUUUUACUGUGUUUACUUAAACUAUAACCAUAACCCAAACUCAAACUAAAAUGGUAACACUAGCUAAUAAAUGUAUCAAAAUUCAUAGUUUUCUAAAUAAGUAACACCAAUUAUAACUAUUUCAAAAACUAUCUCGUAGAAUCUUGAGUCACUCUCGUAUUCUGAAUAUAUAUAAUAAGUAUAUAUAAUCCGUCUUUAAUGAAAAUAUCACUCAUCCUACAAACCAAACGUUUUUAUAAAGUUAUAUAUGUACACACUAUAUCUAUAUAUACAUAUAUAAGUCACUUGGCCCUAAAGUAAUUUCAAAUUAUAUAUAUGGAUAAAUCUUUGGAAAGUCUUUCAUUUGCCUAUCAUUAUAUACAUUACUUAUCUAUGGAAUUCGAACCCGAACUCUAUUUAUGAGUCAUUUUUUCAUUUCAUUGGUCCUUAUUUCUUAUUUCAGCAUAUCGAUUUAGGUCUAAUCUAUUAGUUUUUUCUUUUUUCUACUUAUACCUUUUGUUUUUUUUUUCAUAGGAAUUCUGCAUAUUUUCACAUCUAGGAUUU